CCAAUCAUACCUAGACUGUAGAGGUUAUUCAUGUCACCAAGGACUGCUGAGCACAUGACAUGGCACCAGUCACAUGAUGCGGUUGAAGGAGUGAUGGUGCAUCCUUCUGACGAAGAAGUGUGGAAACACUUUAACAGUGUGCAUCCUCACUUUUCAGCUGAAUCAAGGAACGUGCGUCUUGGGUUGUGUACAGACAGAUUCAACCCAUUCGGGUCAUUUGUUGCUCCUUAUUCUUUUUGGCCGGUCAUACUCACAGUUUUUAACUUGCCACCAGAAAUGUGUAUGAGGUCGGAGUUCAUGUUUUUAUCUAUUGUCAUACCCGGUCCGAGCAGCCCGGGUCGGAAUAUAGAUGUUUGUCUUCAACCGUUGAUUAAUGAGUUGACGCAGUUGUGAUCCUCUGGAGCUUUGAUUUAUGAUAUAUCGAGGAAACAUAAUUUUAUUAUGAGGGCGGCUUUGAUGUGGACUAUCAAUGAUCUUCCAGCUUAUGGAAUGGUUUCUGGAUGGAGCACACAUGGAAAACUAGUUUGUCCAUACUGCAUGGAAAACAACAAGGCAUUCACGCUAACAAACGGAGGUAAAGCUUCUUUUUUUUAUUGUCGUCGUCGUUUCUUGCCACCGAAUCACAGGUACAGAAAGAACAUAAAGGAUUUCUUUGUUGGCGGAGUUGAAAAGGAUGUGGCACCCCUGCGUCUUUUUGGUGAAGAAUUGCAUGAUGUUGUAUCAGAGUAUGUUGACAUUGUGUUUGGUCUUCAAUCAGGUAAGUAGAAGUUUCAUGGUUUUGGUUUGACCCUCAAUUGGGUAAAGCGAAGUAUCUUAUGGGAGCUUUCUUAUUAGAAGACCAAUCUCCUCCACCAUAACCUUGACGUCAUGUACAUAGAAAAGAACGUGUUUGAGAACAUUUUCAACAUCGUUAUGGAUAUGAAGGGGAAGACAAAGGACAACAUCAAGGCUAUAUUGGAUAUAGCUUUGUUCUAUAACCAUCAAAAUAUGGAGUUGGUUUGUGAUGGGUCACGGGUCACAAAACCAAGAGCAAGCUUUGUGUUAGAGAAAAAUGCACAACUACUAGUCUACAAAUGGCUUAAGAGUCUACGUUUCCCUGAUGGACAUGCCUCCAACAUAUCAAGGUUGGCUAAUAUGGAGGAAUGCAAAUUGUAUGGAAUGAAGAGAUAUGUGAUGCACUCACGGAGAUCAGUCAUUUCUUUAGAGAUAUAUGCUCCAACAAGUUGAAUGUUGAUCACAUUGAGAGGCUUGAAACAAAUAUCAUCGAGACACUAUGCAAACUUGAGAUGAUAUUCCCUCCAUCAUUUUUUGACUCAAUGGAUCAUCUCCCCAUACAUUUACCAUUCAAGGCAAAAGUUGGAAGAUCGGUCCAGUGUAGAUGGAUGUACCCAUUCAAACGGUUAGAUAUUACAGUUGCAAUGUAAUUCAUAAAUAAAAGUAUUUUAUUUUUUUUCUUAAUUAAAAAUAUUUGAUUAAUUCAAUGCAGAUACUUGUUCAAUUUCAAGAAAAAGGUUAAGAACAAGGCGCAUGUUGAGGCUUCGAUAUGUGAGGCCUGUAUUAUUUCGAACCUCAUUUGAGAACAAGAAUCAAUCGCGUUCCAUAGCAUGAUGAUGGCGGUGAAGUGCCUUCCAUUGAUAACUUGUCAAUAUUCUCCAAUCCUGGACGACCCACACCUAAAAAUGUCGUAAGAGGAAGAUAUUUAUCGGAAAUAGAGUUCAGACAAGCACACAAUUAUGUUCUAUUUAACUGUGAUGAGCUGAUACCUUUUAUUCAGUAAGUAUAUUUAUGUACUACUAAUUAAACUUUGUUAAUAAUGUACUAUUUAUAUAUUGUAAUAUCAUAAACUCAUAUAAUUUGGAACAACCUCGCAGACAACAUCGACAAUAUUUGUUGUCCAAUAACUCACAACUGACCGAAUCCCAAAUCUUUCAAUUACAAGAUGAAUAAUUUGUCACGUGGUUCAGAACACAUGUAAGUACUAUCACAAACUCAUUAUCUCUUGCAAAGUUACUGUAUGUCAUUAUGAAAUUCUCGUAUACUGUUCAUUAUUGUACAUUACAUAUAAGGUUUAUCAAUUGGAAAAGAGUGUUGCUAAGUCAUUGUCUUCACUAAGCCUUGAAAGAAAAGUUAAGUGCUACAACAUGUAUUUUGUCAAUGGAUAUGUGUUCCAUACUGAAGAAUACGGGCAUUGAAGAAAGACAUACAACAACAGUGUUUGUGUUAAGGGAUUGACUAGUAGUGAGUUAGAAGUUGACUACUAUGGUAGAUUAGAAGAGGUUGUCGAACUACAAUAUCAUAACAAGCAAAAUAGUUUUUUUUAUUCAAAUGCUAUUGGUAUGACACGACUGACAGAGGAAUCAGAGUUGAUCCUCAUUAUGGUCUCGUCGAAAUCAACUCAAAAGCUAGACUCUGCAACGUAAACGAUGUCUUUGUUUUCGCAAAGCAAUGUCAACAAGUUUAUUACACAUACACCCCUUCCUUUAGAAAGGAUCGAUCAAGAGUUGAUUGGUUAUCCGUUUUAAAAACAAAACUCAGGGGUCGUGUCGAGGUUGUUCAGGAUGAGAACGAAGACACAAGUGUGCGAGAUGAAGUCUUUCAAGUUAGUGAGUUGGUUGAACCAUAUCGAGUUGCUCUUUCGAUUGACUUGGAAGAAAAUUCAAAUUUUCAUGUUUUCGAUGAUAGUCUUGUUGAUAUUGAUGCAGAGGAGUUAAAUGUUGUUUUAAGCUCUAGCGGACAAGCAAAUGUUGAUGAAGAUGACAUUCAUAUUGAAGAUUGCGAUGAAGGUGAUGACUAUUCAAUUAACGACGAAGAAGAAGAAAAUUCUGACUAACUAUUAGAAUGAAGCAAUAUGUAAAGCAUUUUUUUCAUGUAAUAUAUAUUAUGGAUGAUAUUUUGUAACACGAAAUAUUUAUUUUAUAAGUGUUAACUAUUGUUAUUGUUUUGUUUGAUGGACAGUUUGUAAUUUAAGUGUUUGCAGCAUAGUAAAUAGGCAAUACAAACAUAAUCUGUCUUGAACAGUGCACUAUCAUCAACGUCCAUACUGAUGGAACAAAGUCCGUCGGCAUUUCACAGAUCUGAAAAAUAUUUACUGCAAAUGCCAUAAUCACCGACGACUUUACAGACGGACUACCAUCCGUUGGCAUUUCAUAGAGAGUUGAAAAAUAUUUACUGCAAAUGCCACAAUCACCGACAACUUUACAGACGGACAACCAUCCGUCAGCAUUGCACAGAGAGUUGAAAAAUAUUUACUGCAAAUUCCACACAGUCAUCGCUGAAUUUACAGACAGACAUCCAUUCAUCGGGAUUUGUCGACAGUUCAUAAUCACCGACAAAAUCACUGACGGACAGUGUGAAUUCUAAAGGGCAGGGUAUUAAAUGCAUCUCUGACCGUGCGCAGUUGCCGAUGGAAUUACCGACGAACUGUGAAAAUAUAGAGGGUAAUUAAAAAUUAUGGUGUGAGAUUCAAAAUUUAUCGACGAAUUUUCGAAACAUCACCGACGGAAUAAUUAAAAUUAAUAUUAUUUAAAUGUUCGUUGGUGAGUCCGUUGGUAAAACUGCGCUAUAAAUCCCAGCGACCGCUCAUUCAGUUCAUUUUUUCAUCUGCUCCAUUUUCAAUCUUUCAUUUUUGUUUUUUUUCCUCUCAUUUCCUUCAAAUCUUUUGUUUGUUUAGCUUGUAAUCUCUACUUGAAUCUUCAGCAAAUUAAAAUGUAUGUAUUUCCUCUACUUCAUUUUACUUCAAGAUUUUUUUUUCUUUGUUUUAGCUAUUGUUAUUUUUGUUAUGUUUUUUGUUUUAGUGUAUUUUUAUAAUGUAGAUAAAGUCUUGAAAUAAACAUAUUAUUAAUGUAAGCAUUUUUCAUUCCUAAAGUCUAUAGUUUUUUUUUUAAUUUAUUCAAUAUAUUUUAUUGUUUGUAUUGCCAUAAUAAUUGAAUACUUUGUUGAAUUUACCUUGUAAUUAGUAAUUGAAUAUGUAGGAAUAAAUUUAAUUAUUUUCUCUCAAUUUUACUUUAUUAUUGCAUGAUAUGCGUUUAAUUAUUUCCAUUAAUUUUAAUUGUUAGUCUAUAGUUUUUUUUUAAUUUAUUCAAUAUAUUUUAUUGUUUGUAUUGCCAUAAUAAUUGAAUACUUUGUUGAAUUUUAAUUGUUAUUGUUGAAUUUACCUUGUAAUUAGUAAUUGAAUAUGUAAGAAUAAAUUUAAUUAUUUUCUCUCAAUUUUACUCUAUUAUUGCAUGAUAUGUGUUUAAUUAUUUCCAUUAAUUUUAAUUGUUAUUUGUAUAUAUGUUAGGUUAUAUACAAGAUUUUUUAAUGUGGUCAAUUGGUUGUGGCUAUUGUCAAUAUUUGCAGGUUUGAAAACUUUGGGUAGUCUCCAGUAUAGGGGAGCUACUGCCGAUUUUUUUUAAUCAUCGAAUUUAAUUAUGUAAUUAUUCGUAUAAAAUUGUGUAUAUGCGUAAAACAAAAUCAACAUCUUGUCGCUCACAUAGGGUCGCAGCUAGUUCUUCUAGCAGCAAGGAUGACAUGUCAUUAGGUUCCCAUCAAGAAGAGGCACCUGCGCCGUCUAUCGAUCUGUCUCUUCCAACGCUGUUUCACAUCGCAGAGGCGGGGUGCCUUCACAGCGGAAUCAAUUCACCCCCAAGUACGAGGCACAAUGGAAGGAGAACCUUUCAAUGUAAGUUUGUUUCGGUUUUAGUUUUUUUUAAUUAUAACAUAAUUUAUGAACAAUUAAUCAAUAUUUCAUUAAUUUAUUUUAUUUUCAGGUUCACAAACAUUGAGGCCGCCUAAGUAAUAUUAUCGGUGUUUAAAUCAUCGAUGGACAUUCUAUUAUUUCAAUGGAGUCAGGUAUCCAGACAUCCUGAAUGGAUACCUCAAAUCGAUGCAUGGUUUGACAGAUUUGAGAUUGGUGUUAAUUUCUAAUUUCCAGCUUAUUUUUUUAAAAAUAUUAAUAUAAUUGUAAAUAAAUUAUUAUUUUUAUUUAAAAUUAAUUAUUUAUACACAGGACAAAUUCACCUGGGACAAUGCGCCUGACACUAUUAUGAGGAGGAUGUGGGAAAAUCACGCGGUAACUAGGUAACAUCGAAAACAAUAUAAUUUUUUUUUUAAAAAAAUUAUGUUUUAAAAUCUAAUUUCUCACUAUGAAAGUAGGUUGCGUGAUUUUUGGUAUGAAGCACAAAAGAAAGGCAAAAAACUGCAAGAGAUAACAGUCUCCAAGGCUGGAACGAUGUGGCGAUUUGGAGGGAUUUCAAACCGCUAUACAUCUCGGCAGAUAUAUGGCCGCAAUAUAUUAAGCAUGUGACGUCUGAGCGGUUCAUACAACGCUCACAGUCCGGUGCUGGAAACUGGAACCGGCCAAUUCAUGGUUCGGUAACAACGCACACUAGCGGCUCCGUUUUGUUUGCUGCAUAUGUGAAACGGAUUGUAAGAUUAAUUUAAAUGAAAUAUAUCAUUAAAUAAUUUAUUGUUACUUAAUUAAUUUUUUUUCCUUACAGUCUCCGUCUCUUGGACGUGAGCCAGGCCCAAUGGAGUUGUUUGUUGAGAUGCACGUGCGGAGUCAAUAGCGCCAAAAGGGGGUGCAACAGUUCGUUGACAACCGCGCUCAACACUUUGUGGUAUGUUUGUUCAACCAUUUUAUUUCGUAAGUUAUUAUUUUUAUUGAAUUGAAUAUAAUGAUUUCUUUUUUCAUUUUCAGAAGACCUAUAAUAGCCGGUUGAGGGAGAGAUAUGGGGACGAUCCUUCGACCGAUCCGAAUUUCGAUCCAGAUUUAUGGAUGGAGGUAGGAUCGUCUGGUGGACCCGAUAAAAAUCGGGUGUAUGGGCUCUCCAACACUAUGGCCGAGAACUUGAGGGUGACCCGUAGUGUCUCAAUCGUUGGAAGCUCCCAAUCAGUAUCGAGCACCUAAUCCAAGGAGUUCAUGGCCUUACAGCAACACACGGCUCAUCUCACCGAAAAAUACGAGCAACUAUCGGCGAAUUAUGAACAACACGUGGCUCAUCUCACCGAGAAAUACGAGCAACUCUCGGCGAAUUCUAAACAACUUCGCCAAAUGGUCAUGAACAUUUGUGCCUCCUUUUUGACCGUAUAACAACCAACCUCCUCCUCCUCCUCCUCCAGCUCCGCCAUUGUGCUAAUUUAAUAUUUUUUGGAAACACGUUCAUUUGUAAUGAAUAUUAUUUAACUUUAUUUUUUUAUUUUUGAUGUUUAAUAAAAUAUAUUUGCAUUAUUGGUUUUUUUACUAUUAAUUUAUAUUAUUUAUUCUAAAUAAUUUUUUUUAAAAAUAAUAAUACCCACCGACGGAUUUACAGACGGCAUGUAUCCAUCGGCAUUUCACAGAGAGUUGAAAAAUAUUUACUAGAAAUGCCACAAUAACUGAUGGUUUCACCGACGGAUUCCUUACGUCGGCAUUUUACCGAGAGCUGCAACAUAUUUACUGGAUAUGCCACUAUCACCGACGAAAUAAAUCCAUCAGUAUAUUCCAGCGGGAAUUUAUUUUUGGCGCGCAAUUUUCGUCUGUAAAACCAUCGGUAAUAUUUUUUUUACCGACGGAAGAUAUGCUGAUAGACACUUUUCAUCGAUGAUUUAGUCAGUAAAAAAAUUACCGACGAAGUCUGAAUCUCAUACCAUCGAUAAAACUAUGAAAUCUUGUAGUGUACACCACUAUCUUACCCUCAUGCUUCUUAAGGGUCACUAUAUUCGCAAAGUAGUCCAUUUGGGCUUUAUACCUAUCUAGCCAAUCCAUUCCUAAAAUUACAUCUAAGUCAUAUUUAAGGGUAAUAAAUCUACCUCUAUAACUAAACCCUCCACCAUAACAUUAACCCCUUUAUACAUAUGUUCAACACUUAUUGCUUCCCCUAAAGGCGUACUAAUAACAAACUCGGGAUUUACCCUAACCGGUUUUACACUUGAUUUACUUUUAAAUCUCUUUGCCAUAAAAGAAUGUGUGGCACCAAGAUCUAGUAAAGCAAAAACUUGAUGAGAAUCUAAAUGUAGAGUACCUGUCACAACAUCCGGAGUAGCCCUAACAUUAUCUAAUGUUAUAUGGAAUAUCUUACCCUUAGUCCUGUCACCUAACGCUAUAGGAUGACUUCUUGUAUCACUGAACCCUGAUUGUGUUUGUCUCACUAGUCUAUUUAUAGUGACAGAUUGUUGCUGGCUCCUAGUUUGUUGUCCCUAGCUUUGUGCAAACUCGAUCCUCCUAGAGCAAUUUCUCCUGAAAUGACCUUGUCCUCCAUAAUAAUAGCAACCCUGACCUAGAUAAGGGCAAUCCUUCCAUCUGUGAUCUCACUGAUAAAUAUAACAUCGUCUAGGUAUGGCAAAAUAGUCCCCGGUGCUUGACCGCUUUUUAUGAUCGGCUUGUUUUAACUCGCAAGUGCACGAGUGUGCGAUGUAGCAAUUAACUCGGUAAGAUCGGCGUCAUAUCCACAGAGAGCUAGAUCUGGAAAUUAAGCUAGGUAACAAAAAAAAAACUCAAGAGAAAUUAAAUUAACAAUAACUUGGUUGAAAAUAAUUGAUGGAUUUGUUUUCAAAGAUGAAAAAGUGUAAAUAGAUUUUAAAUGACAAGAAAAAGUAAGUCUUGGUCCAAAUCAAUUUUAAUGGUGAUGUAUUGGUGAUUCCUUCAACAUAUAUAAGAUAACUCAACCUAAUAUCAACGAUGGUGAUAUUAGAUUGGAAGAUAUUACAAUGAAGUUUAAAAAGAUGAAGAUUGAUUAUUGCUUAAGAAUGAACAAGUACUUUCAUAUUAAGUAAGACAUUGAAUCAAGCAAUCUCUAUACCAAAACUAAGGUUUGUGCAUAAAAAUUCAAGAUUAAAACAUUACCUAAAUGAUUUCUAAAAUUUCUUUGCAAUAAUAAAACAUUCAUGAAGAAAAUGAGAAGAUAAACGUUAAGAUUCAUUCAUAUCUUAAAGAACUCACCUCAACCACCAUCAUCCUUGAUUUGGAUCCAAAAAAGAGAUUAGCCAACCAUGAUUAUAUAUAAGAAUACUUUAAUAAACAUGAAAUAACUUAAAUCAAACUGAAAUAAUAAGUUUUACAAACUAAAAAACCAAAAUCUACAAAGAAGAUCACAACACAAUUUCAAUAAAAAUUCUAACACAAAUCUUACUCUAACUUUGGACAGCAAUUCGACUCUUUGGAGAUGGCUAUUAGAGACAUAUUUAUAUGCCAUUCUGUUAGCUUUCCAGAUCAUUAAAGAACAUCUCAUUUAGACAUCUGAGUAAAAAGUUAUGGGUACAACACCGAAAGGUGUUUUGGAAAAUCAAAUCAGGUCAGCUUGGAGAACACUUUGGUGCAUGUUUUUCUUACUUCUUUAUGAGCUGUCUCUUUCUUCUUUUUUACCCAAAAUAAUGUGACAAUAUCCCCUCCAGCUUUCCAUCCAUGUGCUUGCCCUCUUGGAUCAAUGAAUUACCCAAAAUAAAUCAAAUGUUAUUUGUUGUGUGAACAUGUAAGAUCAUGGAUUAUGCUUGGGCUGAUUUGGAGGCUGAUUUGGGGCUGAAUUUAAGCAUCAAAUAAAAAUACAAAUGUACCUAUUAUUUGGGCUAAGAUUGACAUUGAAACCUUGAGUGUUUGAUGGUUGAAGUUUGCACACAACAUAAGGAAAGUUUGGGCUUGAAAUAUAUCAUAUGAUAAUCUUUUCUAGAAUUAGAAUAUAAUUGAUUUUUGUGGCAAAUUUGGAGCACUUAUUUGAACCAAGAUUUGCUUCAAUCCUCAAUUCUUUGUUCCGAAUUCCGUCGUUGAAUUUUCUGAAAUAAUUCAUUUAAGCUCCAAAAACCUAUUGAAACAUUAAAAGAAACUUCAUUACUAAAAAGCACAUCAAUUAUUAUAAAAAACCCAAAUAAAAACAAUAAAUACAUAUGUAAAAUAAGAGACUUAAUGAUACUUUUGAUGCACAAUCACCCAUGAUGUCUCUUCCCACACCAAUCAUAGGGGGGUAUGUCUUCUACUCUAGAGUCCUCCUAAUAGGACCACCCUGCGAGUACGAUUGCCCUCUAGCAAGUCUCAUUCUUGAACUCUGAGUGGACUCAUAUACCGAUCCUACCUCUUUUUUGAAUUGACUAAAUUGACCUUUGCCCUUUUUGGGAAAAGAAGGCCGGCUAGAUAUCUGCUCAGUAUCUUUUCACUUGCCCAGACUCACCUAGCCUUGUUGGCCCUCUUUCAUACAAGCCUCCAAGGCCUCAACUGCUUCCACUAGUUCCCUAGUUGUCCUAAACUUUAAGGGGAGCAAUGUUUGUUUCAACACUUAUUGCAACCCAUCACGUCGUUUCUCACUUAAUUGAUGCUCUGUAGGAACAUAGUGCGAACAAAACAUUGAGAGGUCAUGGAACCUCCUUUCAUAGUCAAAAUUGACAUAUCACCUUGUGUUAAGGCCAAAAAACUCCUGCUCCUUCACCUUUUGAUCCUAUGAUAAGUAAAACUGGUUUUCAAAUUGCACUCGAAACUAAGCCCAUAUCCACGACCCUGCAAGUCUCCUAGAUCGCACUAUAUCCCACCAAGAUUGUGCUAUGUCUGACAAUAAAUUAGUGGCACAAUUCACUCUCAAAUCCUCUGCACCCAAAUUUGUUCCAUAAUGUCUUCUACUAUACGUAACCACCUUCCUACUAUCACAGCAUCUAGUUCUCCUGCAAAUGACUUACACCCCAACUCUCGCAUGCUCUUAACUACCCGAACUAGUGUAACUACACUGUCCAUCGGUGCAGGGGCAACUGGUGGUACCUGCAUUGCUGGUGCUACUGGGGGUGCUGGUACUGGCAUAUGAAGCAUCACCUCCAUCAUUACCCUCACAAUCUGAGCUAUCAAUACUGGAUCGGUAUAUGUGACAUGACCAAAAGAUUGAUAUCUUCUCCCAAGUGUAGGAGUGUCGAAGUAAUAAAUAACUCAGCAAGACCAGGGUCGAACCACAUGGAGGUUAACUAUAUAAAUUAUAAAUAAUAAUAAUAAUAAUAAGUUGAAGAGAGCUUUGAGAUGUGAUAUCGAUAUAAGGAUUAAACAAUGAUAAAAACAAUUGUCAAGGUUAAAGGAUUCACUAAUGGUAUUUUAAACAAGUAUAGUAUAAACUCUUAUUACUCAACUAGAAACCACACACAAAGGAGUUUCCAAUCAGAUUAUAAAUUGUUAACAUGAUUACAUUAGUUAUCUCAUUCGAGUAAUGCUAAUACUUGUAAAUGUUGUCAGGUAUUCAUGAUUAUAACUUAUGUUAACAACAAAUCAAGUUCCUUUCAUAGAAUAGGUGUCGGUUAUACCAUACGGUUUGGGUUAUGAAAGUGCCAAGUAUUAAUUAUACCAAGGUUAUACAACAUAAAUCUAGAUUAACCAUUUAACAAGCAAAGUAUGAAAGGUGAAUAAGAUAACAAAUACAAAACAUGUUACUAUCAAACAUUAAAGUUCAUGUUGAGUUUAUACUAUACUUAUUCUUACACCAUUAGUGUAGCCUUUUCACCUUGACAUAAUAAACUUAGCUAAACAUAAUGAAGAAGAGAAACAUAAAUAAACAAGAUAAGAACAUAAAUAAGAUAUAAGUUAACUAAGUAAAGAAAAGGAAAUGAAAAGCAUAAACAAGAGAUUAAUAUAAACAAAACUUCAGCAUUACAAAAAUAUAAAGAGAGAGAGCAAGAACAUAAUCUUGAUCUGAAAACUAAGAUGCCUAAAUGCAUGGCAAAUGCCUUCUUUUAUAGGCCAAAAUUCAGAACUAUUGAUUUGAUAAUUAAUUGUUGAGUGGGUGGCCACAUCUUAACUUGGUGACAAUCCUUAUCUUCUUGUCUGAACAAAAAAUCAUUGUUAAUGUCAAAAUUUAAACAGGAUGUCCCCAUGAAAGUUCUAGGAAAUUGUCUCACCUUUCCAACAAAAAAAGAAUCGGUGCAUUUGGACUUCUAGAACUCGAGAUAUGGGCUGAACACUGAACAGUGUCUGGGCUGCAGGACAGAUUCUGACUUCUCUGUUGUUGCUAAGAUUUGGACUUCUAAAUAGCAUAAUUGAGUCUUGGACUCCCUGAAUGUUUUAGGCCAAUGUCUUAGCUUUCUAGCCAUAUAAACCGAAUUGAAAUCCAAGAUUUACAGCUCCAGAUAUGACCCAAUGACUGAAUAGUGUUCCAGUUUGGACUGAACCAGAAUCUAUUUUCUAAGCUUAACCCUCCCUUUGUCUUCUCAAUUUCAGUAGUUGAACUCAUCAAUCAAUCCUUUGAUUUAUGUGAUAGGCUUGCAUUUAAAAUGAGCAUUUACCAUAAAUUAUAGUUAUUUUAUAUUAUCAGACUUGUUAUUAUAAAGCAUGCUUAAGUUAGGGAAUUUAAUGAUACUUUAAGUGGAAUAUGAUGAUAUAAAGCUUUACUGAGAAUGCACUUUUAAGUAUUAAUCACACCCCCCAACCAGCUUAUUACUAGUCCCUAGUAAUCAAAGCGCUAAAAUAGAAAAACAAUUUGCAAGUUCCACAAAGUAAGACAUUCAUCAUUCAACUUCCAUUAAUCUAUCCAGAUAAAUAAACUCUCAUUAAAUUUAUAUAUUUGCUCAAUACCUCUUUGUCAAGAUAUUAAUAAACCUUUCUUUUGUGCUCAAUAUAUCAACACAUAGUUAUAGGGCUAUACUUGGAUGAAAACAUAAUUUUGUUCUAAUGUUUAAGGUUAACUUCCUUGGGUUGGGAUUAUUAUCUCUUUUUUUUUAAUGUAUAUACAUAAUACAUAUAACUUAAAACACAAUGCAUCUUUAACCUAUGUAACGAGCUUUUGGCUAAUGACUCCCAGACCAGUUGGUUUUAGGGCAUUAGGUGUUGAGACACCCCUACGAGCUUAGUAACUCGAGUUGCAAAUAAUGAUACGUAGAUAGUGUAAUGUUUGAUUACCUUAAGUUUUUCUCCUUAACCUAUGUAACAAGCUUUGGGCUAAUAGCUCCCAAGUCAGUUGACCUUAGGGUAUUAGGUGUUAAAACACCCCUUCGGGCUUAAUUGCUUAGGUUAGGAAGGCUACGAAACCAAACUUAUCUACGUUUUUAUUAUCAUCAAUAUUAUCAAAUUUUUUUUGCAAAUUAUAUACUAUCAAUUUCCCUUAGUUGUUACCUUUAACAAAAGAACAUAAAUAAUGUAAUAAUCCAAUAUGCAACCCACAAUCAUAUCUUAAUGUGUGUGUGUGAAAAUGAAGGUUUAAUAAUACUUGUUAAAUGAGUAUAUGAGCAGAAUCAAGUGAUAACAAUGCGAGAGUUUGUAAACCUGAAUAUUUCAAAAAGUAUUCUGAUAGACCUUGAUAAGAAUAUUUACUAAGAUGUGUCUCAAGAGUCAAUAAAAUUCCUCCUUACUCUGCCAUCCUAAUAACAGUUUUGUCAAAUGGUUUUAAUAAUAGCAAAAACAGUUAGUUAGUUUUUUUUCUAAUGUCAACUACUACCCUCUCCUCCCAACCAGAACUGAUGUCACCAUAUUAUUCGAUAGUUCCACCCACAUUUAACUAGUGUUUUGCCUAUGUUUUAUGUAUAAAGUGCCUUGAUAUUCUUUGUUUUAUGUUUUGAAGGCACUUUUGGAUGAAAGAUGCAAAAAGGAGUAAAUUGGAGGUAAUUGGCAGAUUUGACCCUUAAUUGAUGUUUUGUGCAGAGCGUGAGUUCUAAAAGUCGAAACGAAGUGAUUCCAGUGGCAUUAGAAAGAUAACAUCCAUACCUUUCUGGAAAUAUAAUUCAAGAAAAAUAAAACGACAAAUAGCAUGGAAAUCACAUCCUUCAAAGUCAAAUCUCGCAUUCUGCUAGUGUUGACCUUUGUCCAUUCAAAAUUAAAUAUCUAGAUUUGUAGACAUCCAAUUGAUGCAAACUCAAUUGUUUUGGAUUCCUGACUCAAAGACCAACAAACGCUCCAAAUGUCAGCAAACAAAAAUGUCAUAUGAGGGAGAUAUGAGUUUUCAAAGAUGACAUCUGAAUUCUGCCAGCAAACACGUUUCGUGAAGAAACGAAUCCAAAUUACAUCCCGAAGCAUCCAAACCGACAUCCAAGUUUUUAUUUUAGCAAUUUAGCUCCUCUAGUAAAUCAAUCCAGAAGGUCAAGGAAGGCAGCCACCAACCUCAAGCCUUCAACCUCAAAUCACCAACCACAAACCAGCCGCCAACCGCCUUCACACUACCACCAUCUCUUGAUGUUCACACUUGAACUUUGAUUUUUCUUACUUACAAUUUGUGUAUAAAUAGGCAGCUAAGUUUAUGCUAUUUAGAGAGCCAAGAGAGAGCCAAGAGAGAGGGGGAGAGAGUGGAGUAGAAUCAAAGAAAGAAGGGUGACAACCAUAAGAGAAGAAACACAAACUCUCCCCUCUACAAAUCAGAAAUCAUGUAUUCUUCCAUCUUUAGGAGUAGUUGUUCAAUAGAUAUGCAAGGCUAAGCUCGUUUUCUUGGUUGCAAGGACGCAAAAACCUUCAGAUUUCAAGAACUGUGAGAUUUAUUCUUCUAUUUAUUUUCAGUUUGUAUUAUGAAUGAGUAUGUUUGUUUUUCUAUGCAUAUUUCCUAUGAUUGUUUAUCUUAAUUGCUAGAGCGGACUCUAAGUUAUUAUUGUGAACAAUCUAUUGCUAAGUUUGAUAUCAAAAUCGGAGUUGUGGUAUAUAAACUUGUGAAGCAACUAAGCUUGAUAAUUGUAGCGAAACUACGUUAUUAAACUUAGGGAGAACAUUCGAUCAAAGCAACACAAGCUGACAACUUGGUUGUUAAGAUUAAUGAAUUUAUCUAGAUCUUAAGGCUGCCAUUGGAUUAAAUCAUUAGUGCGGACACUGUGAUUGUUUGUUGGUUAGGGUUAUUUAUACGGCAGAUCCGUUAAUUAACCAACAUUAAGAAAAGAUAAAAAAAUUCAGAAUAUAAACUGAAGUUUCGUUUCAAGGAUCGGUUCUGAUUUCUAUAGGUGGAUGUGUGCUUGCGACCAAGGUUUGUUUUCUUGAUAUAUUUCAGUUUUAAUUUAUUUUGUUUGUUAGUUUAAUUUCUGCCAUAGUUUAGAUCAUUGCAAAUCAAACCCCCCCAAUUGCAUAACGUAUAGCAUAAAAAUCUGAACUAAACCUUUCUCGUGGGAUCGACCCCUUGCUUGCUCUAUACUAUCUUGUGUGUUUUAAGCUAGGGUAAUUAAUUUGUGCGACCACGACAUCGCAACAAAUUUUGGCGCCAUUGCCGGGGAAGUAAUUUUAGUUUAUUCUUGUGCUUGUACAUUUAUUUUUAUUUGUCGUGAUUGUUAUUAUUAUUAUUUUUUUUGAAAGAAAAAAAAGAGAAACAUAAUUUUUGCUUGCAGCGGUACUGUUCAAAACAGAUUGUUUUAGUGGAAUUAGGAUCUGGCCUUUUGUUUCCUAAAGGGAAACGAUGUUCUGAACAGUACAAGUGGUAAACCACUAUCCUUAUCCUAUCGAGGCCAAAUUCCGUUGUUUUCUAGGUUUUUUAGGCACUUUUAGUUUUCUAGCAUAGGAUUUUCGUACAAUUUGCUUUGUUUUCAAUCUCUUGUGUAAUUGGUUUCUUUUGAGUUUCUUGAAGAUUUAUGCCUGCAACCCGUUCUACUAAUCAGAGUCAAGUGCAGUUGGAUCUCGAAAUAGAAAGCAUUUUACGCAGGUUACGAAAGGAAGUUUGCCUCAACACCAUGGAUGUUGCACGACAACAAACACUCAAAGAGCUUGCUGCUCCUAAUGUGGAAAACCAACCAUUGUGCAUAAACAUCAACAAUAAUGUAAACGUUGAGCUCAAAUCUGGUUUUAUACAUUUGCUACCAACAUUCAAUGGUCUUGCAGGUGAAGAUCUUCAUACUCAUCUCAAGGAGUUCCAUAUGGUUUGCAUUGGCAUGAAACCGAAUGGAGUUGACGAAGAACAGGUUAAGUUGAAAGCUUUCCCUUUCUCUUUAAAAGGGGCAGCAAAGACAUGGUUUUUCUCUAUUCUCCCAGGUUCCAUUGGAACUUGGAAUGGCAUGAAGAAGAUCUUCCUUGAAAAAUAUUUCCCAGCAUCUCGAGUUGCCAACAUAAGGAAAGAAAUAUGUGGGAUUCGGCAAUCUUAUGGAGAGACACUCUCCGAAUAUUGGGAAAGAUUUGAGCAACUCUGCAUUCAAUGUCCUCAUCAUCAAAAACCCGAUCAGUUGCUCAUUCAAUAUUUCUAUGAAGGAUUGAUGCCUACUGACCGUAGUAUCAUUGAUGCUGCAAGUGGAGGGGCAUUGGUGGAUAAGACACCCGAGGCUGCACGCCAAUUGAUCUCAAACAUGGCAACUAACUCGAAACAGUUUGGCACCCGUGGAGACUUCUCAAACAAACGAGUAAAUGAGGUAAGUAUUUCUAACAUUGAAAAUAAAGUUAAUGAUCUUACUUCUCUUGUGCGUUCUUUGGCUUGUGGAAAUGUACAGCAGGUGAAAGUUUGUAGCAUAUGUUCCUUACAAGGACAUGCCUCAGAUAUGUGCCCAACAAUGCAAGAAGAUUACAUUGAACAAGCUAAUGCAGUUGAUGGAGCAUUCAAUGGACAGCCCCAGCGUAAAUAUGAUCCCUUUUCCAACACGUACAAUCCUGGAUGGAGAGAUCAUCCCAACUUACGCUAUGGGAAACCGCCUCAACAAAGCAAUCAAGGCCGACAGUUCCAUCCCCAUGGAUUUCAAUCCCAACAGAAUUAUCAAGCAAGACAACCCCCUCCUCCAUUCACAAACUCCAAUGUUAUGGGGUCGUCAUCCAAUGAUGAUCUUCGUGAAAUGAUGAAAACUUUGGCUUCUAACACUGUGACCUUGCAACAAAAUAUCAUGUCUUUUCAACAGGAAACAAGGUCAAGUAUUCAUAACUUGGAAAAGCAAAUGGGGCAAGUAGCUUCAAAUGUAGGGAAAUUGAAAGCACAAAUGAAUGGAAAGUUACCCUCCCAAGCAUUGAAUCCAAAAGAGAAUGUUAGUGCGAUCAUGCUGCGAAGUGGAAAAGAACUUGAAGAGCAAAGGUCGAAACAAAUUGAGAUGGAGGAAGAAAAAGAGAUACAAAACGAAUUGAGUACAAAGAAGAAACACCCUCCUCCUCCACAAAUUGAAACAACGACCAACACUCCAAAGGUAACUCCUCACUCAAUAAAUUCUAGUUUUAAAACAAUUUCACCCUUUCCUGUGAGUUCUUAUAGGUCAAAGAAAAAAGACAAAGAAAAAGAGAUUUUAGAGGUUUUCAAGAAAGUGGAACUCAACAUUCCUUUGCUUAAUGCUAUGAAGCAAAUUCCAAAGUAUGCCAAAUUCUUGAAGGAGUUGUGUACUACCAAGAGAGCUUUCAAACUGAAACGUCACGAAACGAUAAGUAUGGGUGAAUUUGUAUCUGCUGUUGUUCAAAAGAAUAUGCCUUUGAAGCAAAAAGACCCAGGUGCGUUUACUAUCCCAUGUGUUAUUGGUAAUGCUAGUUUUAAAAGGACUUUAUGCGAUUUAGGUGCAUCCAUUAGUGUUAUGCCUAAACAUGUUUAUGAUUCUCUUAGUCUGGAGCCUUUGAAUAAAACUAGUAUUGUAAUACAACUUGCAGAUCGUAGUUUUGUUUAUCCACUUGGUAUGAUUGAAGAUGUCCUAGUCAAGAUUGAUAGUUUGGUUAUUCCAUGCGAUUUUUAUAUUCUUGAUAUGGAACAUGAUUCUUGUGAUUCAUCAAACAACACUCCUAUAUUGUUUGGGAGACCAUUUUUUAAAACUGCCAAUACAAAGAUUGAUUGUGGUAAGGAUACUUUGUCUAUGGAAGUAGGAGAUGAAAAGAUUGAAUUUAAUUUUCAUGAUGCAAUGAAAUAUCCUUAUAGCAAUGCUUAUUCUAUCACAUGUUAUGACCAAGUUGAUAAGUGUGUGCAGCAAGUUUGUGGAUUAAGCAUAGCUUUGAGCUAUGGCUAUGAUUUUACCAAGAUAAAAGAGAAGGAGAGGCACAUAUGUGUUCCCCAAAAUGUGCACCAAUCAACAUUGGCUUUGCAAGCUUUGCAAACUGUCCUCCAUGAUGCAGGAGUCAUUACCCCCAUCACGGACAGUGAAUGGGUGGCGUCUAUCCUUUUGGUACCCAAAAAGACUGGAACCAUGUUAGAAGAGAUACAGAAUGAUGCUUAUGAGAAUGCAAGGAUUUACAAAGAAAAGACCAAGAAUCUUCAUGACCGAAUGCUUACAAGAAAAGAGUUUCAUGUUGAAGACAAAGUCUUUCUUUAUCAUUCGCGUUUGAAACUUUUUCCUGGAAAGUUACGCUCUUAUUGGAUUGGACCAUUUGUUGUUUCUAAUGUUUUUCCUUAUGGUGCAGUUGAAAUUACAAGUUUAGAAACCAACAAAGUACCCAAGGUCAAUGGACAUCGCUUGAAACCUUUCUAUGAAGGUUGGACGGCAGAACUCACCGCUUCUGUGGAGUUAGCUGAACCAAUCUAUGAAGAAUAAUCAUGCAACAUGUCGAGCCAAUGACAUAAAACAAAAGCGUUUACUGGGAGGCAACCCAGCACAAAAAAAAAUUAGAUUUGCUUUUUUUUUUCCUUAUCUUUUAUUUUUUGCAUUUUACUUUAUCUUUGUCAUUCUCUUAUAUUCCUUUUCUUUUAUUUCAACAUUGAGGAUAAUGUUGUGCUUUAAGUGUGGGGGUAUUGGGAGAAUUUUGGUUUUCUUUGUUGUCCUUUAAAAAAAAAAUCUAAGCUUGAUCUUUAGAACUCCCAUUGGUUUUUGCGAAUAUGAGUAUUAUGUAUGAGAAUUAGUUGAGAUAGAUGAAGAUAUAAAUCAAAUGAAUGAGUGUGCAUGCCAAUUUUAAGAUUUAAUUGUUUUAGGAAUUGACUUUGAGAAUAUGCCAUGUUGACUUUAUAGUGUUAUACCAAUGCAAGCUUUUGAGCCUUCAACAUUAUAUUCUUUGAUUGUGCCUUCUUUCAAUGAUAUGUAUCUCUAGAACUUGCUUCAUAUCUUGUUGAGAUUACAUUCACAUUACAUAUAUACAUGAAGAAGAUAAAGGCAUUAGGAAUUUUAACCACUUGAGCCAAAAAGCCAACCUAAAUCAUAUUAUCCUUAGUGAGCCCCUUUUGAGCUUGUUUAUCUUUUCUUUGCUUUAUCCAUGUAUAAGCCUUAACUUUUUAUAUGUUUUCCUUUUCCCCUGGCCAAGGAUUAGUAGAGCAUAUACUUAUGAUAUCUUAUGGAAUUAUGGUUGGAAAUUAUGUGAAAAGAAAGAAGAAGUGAUGUUUGAUGAAAAGAUGGGUAAAGUUGCUAAAGGUGAAAAACAAAAAAAAAAAAAAGAAGAAAAGAAAAGAAAAGAAUAAAAAAAAAGAGUAUUCCUUUAUGUUCUUAAGAUUUUAUGUUGAAAGAGCUUGAAAUCAAAAUAAGUUAAGCAUUGGUGAUUAAAGAUGAAAAAUGUUUGUGCUUUAAUGGAAUAUCUUGUUUGAAAUAUCAUUUUUCAGAAUGCUCUACUUUUUUUUGUUUGAACCUUUUCUUUUACUCUUUUUUACCUCACCUUAACCUUAGCCCCAUUACAACCAGAAAAUAAGACCUUUUGAUUCAUGCAUUGUUUGUAAUAUGUUAGUAAUGGAGAUGAGAUUGAAGAGCAAGCUUAUGGUAGAACAUAUUCAUUGAUUGAAUUUGAGAGAUUUAAACACAUAAAUCCUUAAACACGUGAGUGUUGGAGUGUAUAUCAAUGGGAGGACCUAUCACUUUGGCAUGACAUAAAUUUCAUUUAAAUCCCGACGAUUGAUUGAGUUUUGAAGUUUGCAUGUAAACAAAUUCAUGAAAAUUUAUGUUUUUUUUUAUCCUUUUUUAUUAUAUUCUUCUUUAUAAUGCUUGUACUCUUGGACAUUGAUAGGAAAUUAAGAGAUUGAUCAUAGUUAUUUUCAAUUUGAUUUUAUCUAUCCUUUCUCGAGGACGAGUAAGAGCUAAGUGUGGGGGUAUUUGAUGCAACCAUAUUAUUCGAUAGUUUCACCCACAUUUAACUAGUGUUUUGCCUAUGUUUUAUGUAUAAAGUGCCUUGAUAUUCUUUGUUUUAUGUUUUGAAGGCACUUUUGGAUGAAAGAUGCAAAAAGGAGUAAAUUGGAGGUAAUUGGCAGAUUUGACCCUCAAUUGAUGUUUUGUGCAGAGCGUGAGUUCUAAAAGUCGAAACGAAGUGAUUCCAGUGGCAUUAGAAAGAUAACAUCCAUACCUUUCUGGAAAUAUAAGUCAAGAAAAAUAAAACGACAAAGAGCAUGGAAAUCACAUCCUUCAAAGUCAAAUCUCGCAUUCUGCUAGUGUUGACCUUUGUCCAUUCAAAAUUAAAUAUCUAGAUUUGUAGACAUCCAAUUGAUACAAACUCAAUUGUUUUGGAUUCCUGACUCAAAGAACAACAAACGCUCUAAAUGUCAGCAAACAAAAAUGUCAUAUGAGGGAGAUAUGAGUUUUCAAAGAUGACAUCUGAAUUCUGCCAGCAAACACGUUUCGUGAAGAAACGAAUCCAAAUUACAUCCCGAAGCAUCCAAACCGACAUCCAAGUUUUUAUUUUAGCAAUUUAGCUCCUCUAGUAAAUCAAUCCAGAAGGUCAAGGAAGGCAGCCACCAACCUCAAGCCAUCAACCUCAAAUCACCAACCACAAACCAACCGCCAACCGCCUUCACACUACCACCAUCUCUUGAUGUUCACACUUGAACUUUGAUUUUUCUUACUUACAAUUUGUGUAUAAAUAGGCAGCUAAGUUUAUGCUAUUUAGAGAGCCAAGAGAGAGGGGGAGAGAGUGGAGUAGAAUCAAAGAAAGAAGGGUGACAACCAUAAGAGAAGAAACACAAACUCUCCCCUCUACAAAUCAGAAAUCAUGUAUUCUUCCAUCUUUAGGAGUAGUUGUUCAAUAGAUAUGCAAGGCUAAGCUCGUUUUCUUGGUUGCAAGGACGCAAAAACCUUCAGAUUUCAAGAACUGUGAGAUUUAUUCUUCUAUUUAUUUUCAGUUUGUAUUAUGAAUGAGUAUGUUUGUUUUUCUAUGCAUAUUUCCUAUGAUUGUUUAUCUUAAUUGCUAGAGCGGACUCUAAGUUAUUAUUGUGAACAAUCUAUUGCUAAGUUUGAUAUCAAAACCGGAGUUGUGGUAUAUAAACUUGUGAAGCAACUAAGCUUGAUAAUUGUAGCGAAACUACGUUAUUAAACUUAGGGAGAACAUUCGAUCAAAGCAACACAAGCUGACAACUUGGUUGUUAAGAUUAAUGAAUUUAUCUAGAUCUUAAGGCUGCCAUUGGAUUAAAUCAUUAGUGCGGACACUGUGAUUGUUUGUUGGUUAGGGUUAUUUAUACGGCAGAUCCGUUAAUUAACCAACAUUAAGAAAAGAUAAAAAAAUUCAGAAUAUAAACUGAAGUUUCGUUUCAAGGAUCGGUUCUGAUUUCUGUAGGUGGAUGUGUGCUUGCGACCAAGGUUUGUUUUCUUGAUAUAUUUCAGUUUUAAUUUAUUUUGUUUGUUAGUUUAAUUUCUGCCAUAGUUUAGAUCAUUGCAAAUCAAACCCCUCCAAUUGCAUAACGUAUAGCAUAAAAAUCUGAACUAAACCUUUCUCGUGGGAUCGACCCCUUGCUUGCUCUAUACUAUCUUGUGUGUUUUAAGCUAGGGUAAUUAAUUUGUGCGACCGCGAUAUCGCAACAAGAACCAGACAUUGUCCUCAAUGUCCUAAGGUAGAAAGAUAGAGUAUAGAAGACAUCACCUAAAACACACUUAAACAAAUAUAAGAAAUAACAAAACAAAAUAAUAUGUUAUUAACAAAACCAAAAGACACAAGAUUUCACAAAUGAAGGCUCAAAUCCAAUCUAAGCUUUUUACAGCUUUCCUUAGUUGACCAAUCUAUGCGACUCAUGGAGGGAUCAAUUACAGGGAUGAAAGAUUGUAGUUGGUCAAUCAAUUGUUCAACAGUAGCAGUAAAGAUUAUGAUUUGUCGUGCCUGAGAUGACCAAAAGAUUGAUGUCUUCUCCCAAGUGCAGGAGUGUCGAAGUAAUAAAUAACCCGGCAAGACCAGAGUCGAACCACAGGGAGGUUAACUAUAUAAAUUAUAAAUAACAAUAAUACAACAACAAUAACAACAACAACAUAAUAAUAAUAAUAAUAAUAAUAAUAAUAAUAAAGAGAGCUUUGAGAUGUGAUAUUGAUUUAAAGAUUAAACAAUGAUAAAAACAAUUGUCAAGGUUAGAGGAUCCACUAAUGGUAUUUCAAACAAGUAUAGUAUAAACUCUUAUUAUUCAACUAGAAACCACACACAAAGGAGGUUCCAAUCAGAUUAUAAUUGUUAACAUGAUUAGAUUAGUUAUCUCAUCCGAAUAAUGCUAAUACUUGUAAAUGUUGUCAGGUAUUCAUGAUUAUAACUUAUGUUUUGUCAAAUGGUUUUAAUAAUAGCAAAAACAGUUAGUAAGUUAGUUUUUUUUUAAUGUCAACCACUACCCUCUCUCCCAACCAAAACGAGACAUUAUCCUCAAUGUCAUAAGGUAGAAAGAUAGAGUAUGGAAGACAUCACCUGAAACAGCGAACACUGACAAACCUGAAACAUACUUAAACAAAUAUAAGAAAUAACAAAACAAAAUAAUAUGCUAUUAAGGUUUCACAAACGAAGGCUCAAAUAUAAUCUAAGUUUUUUACGGCUUUUCUUAGUUAACCAAUUUAUGCGACUCAUGGAGGGAUCAAUUACAGGGAUGAAAGAUUGUAGUUGGUCAAUCAAUUGUUCAGUAGUAGCAGCAGAGGUUAUGAUUUGUCAUGCCGAAGAUGUUAGAAAUUCUUGUUCCACAGCUUGAUCAAGAAAAGACAACAAAUUAUCAUAAAAACCAUUAACAUUUAACAAACCUAUAGGUUUAUGGUGAAUGUGCAGUUGGGCCCAAGAGAAAAUAUGAAAGAUCUCUUCCAAUGUGCUUAGACCACUUGGUAAGGCAAUGAAGGCGUCAACAUGGUUAAACAUUGCAUUCAAUCGAUCAGACAUUGUGGAGACCUGUAGUUCCUCUCCAAUUGUUUUGCCAAUGAUGUCCCCUUUUGCUAAAGCUUUGGGGACGACCCCAAAACUUGACUGCCUCCUAAAAAUACAGCUAUUGGCACACACCCCCCAUUAACCCAAGGCUGCCUCCUCCAUACACUAAAUGAAUCUUUCUCUCAGCUAGUACCUGUCCAAGAUGGUUUGCUGAUUCUAAAAACUCUUUUUCUUUCCCAGGACUGGAUCCACCAAAAACACAAAUAUUUCUUAUGUGAUGACUUGAGGAGCCUGCCAUUUCUACACACUUCUAUAUCUGUUAAAUGUAUAGGUUGAGUAGAAAUGAAAGGAAGGAAGAUAAGAUUUUAUAGAUGAGAAAUUGAAAAUGCAAUCAUACCACCUAUAUGUAGGUCAGCUGGAGUCUAUCUCUCUCUCUCUCUAUUUAUUUAUUUAUUUUGAAAAAGCAUGUGUAUGUACAGGUAGUUGUGAUUGUGGCUCACAUCUUCCCUUGGUUUUACGUCCAAGAACGGUUUAAACGUCCUCUAUGGGUCGGGGAUAGGCUUCUUAUCUAGUUUUCUUAAAAAUGGCAAACAGGGUCUUUUAUAGUCAGAUUCCCAAGACUAAGUCGAUCAUGUUCUUUAUGGAAUUGUGGCCAUAAAUCAUGAAUUGCACGAUGCACAUCUCCACUAGGAUGCGUCUCAAGAGUCAAUAUAAGAUUAUCUAAAGAUCCCUUACUCAGGCCAUCCUUAAUUAAUUGUAUUUUAUCUUCACGGUUUACAGAUAUCAUUCCUAAAGAACGACAUGUUGCAUUACAAGUCCAUCUGGCACAUCUGUGACAGACUUUCAGUCGUUUUGCAUGAUGUUUCUUUGCAAAAGUGCUUUUACCUGUUCCAAGCAUGUAUGAGAUGAAAGAAUUGGAGGACUCACCUGAUAAUCGGACCUUUGCUUCAAUCAACCAACGAAUAUCUUCAGGAAUUCCAUGAUUCAUUAACAACCUCAAUCUUGCACACCUAGCACGGUAAAUUUUUGCAAUCGUGUUUGGAGGCAAAGCGGGAAAAUACUUUUUCAAUUUUUCAAGAGUGGUGUCCAUUUUCAAAUGAGAAUUGGAGAAGAGAUUCAAAGAAGGGAGAAAGAGCACAGAAUUGCACAAAUAUAUAUACAGAUAUCAGUUAUUAUGGGAAACUAAAAGAACCGACUUAAGUCACGGAGUACCGUUAUCCGCCAUUUGACCGGGGUGAGAGAGACUAGCAAAACAAAAUUCACACCCAAAAGAAACACAAAAACAAUGUGAGAAAAACAAAAUAAUCAACCUUUAUAUACAGGAUCAUUCAAACCAAUGGAUUCAUUUUCACUAGGAAAAUUAUCAAAGUAAGCUUUCAAACGAUGUCCAUUUACCUUAAAAAAUUGCCAUUCUUUGGAUUCUCAAUAUCAAAGGCCCCAUAAGGAUACACAUGUUUCACAAUAAAUGGACUGCUUCAUCUUGAUCUUAGCUUUCCAUGAAAUAAAUGGAGUCGAGAAUUAUAAAGCAAAACUUUUUGACCAACAUCAAAUGUUUUUCUCAAGAUUCUCUUGUCAUGAAACUCUUUGAUUCUUGCUUUAUGAAUUUUUGAAUUCUCAUAUGCAUCAUUUCUUAUUUCCUCAAGCUCAUUUAUUUGUAACUUACGCAGCUGGCUAGCAUCAUCAAGGUUUGAAUUGAAAGCUUUAAUAGCCAAAUAAGCUUUAUGUUCAAGUUCCACAGGCAAGUGACAAAGUUUUCCAUAGACUAGUCUAUAAGGUGACAUACCUAAUGAUAUUUUAUAAGCAGUUCAAUAAGCCCAAAGUGCAUCAUUAAGUCUUAAAGACCAAUCUAUUCUAUUAGGGUUCACUGUUUUCUCCAAGAUCUGUUUGAUCUCCCUAUUAGCAAGCUCUACUUGUCCACUUGUCUAAGGGUGAUAAGGGGUGGCAACUUUGUGUGUGAUUUCAUAUUUCUUCAUUAAAGACUCAAAUCCCUUGUUGCAAAAAUGUGUUCCACCAUCACUUAUCAUGGCUCGAGGGAUUCCAAACCGACUCAAAAUAUUUUCUUUCAAAAACUUGAUCACUGUUUUGUGAUCAUUGUUUCGACUUGGAAUUGCCUCUAUCCAUUUUGAAACAUAAUCUACUGCGACUAAUAUGUACAAGAAACCAAAUGAUGGAGGAAAUGGAACCAUGAAAUCUAUACCCCAAUAGUUAAAGAUCUCAAUGACAAGAAUAGAAUUUAAAGGCAUCAUGUGACGUUUUGAAAUAGAUCCCAACUUUUGAUAAUUUUCACAAGUCUUGCAGAAUGCAUGUGAGUCCUUGAACAUGGUGGGCCAGUAAAAUUAACUUUGUAAGAUUUUUGCAGUUGUCUUUCUUCAUGAGAAAUGGCCCCCACAUGCCUCAGAAUGACAAAAUUUAAUGACACUAGUUACCUCAUUGUCAGGAAUGCAUCUUCAAAAUAUUUGAUCAGGACAAUAUUUGAAUAAAUAAGGGUCAUCCCAAUAAAAGUUCUUCACUUCGUUCAAGAACUUUCUUUUAUCUUGAGUACUCCAAUGAGCUGGCAAUUGUUCUGAAACAAGAAAAUUAACAAUAUUAGCAAACCAAGGCAUUGUAAAGACAGAAAAUAAAGAUUCAUCAAGAAAGUAGUCAUCGAUUGGUGUGAUGUCAGAUCUCGAAUCUGUUGUCAAUCUUGACAAAUGAUCUACGACAACAUUUUCGGUGCCUUUCUUGUCUUUGAUUGUGAUAUCAAAUUCUUGAAGUAACAAAAUCCACCGCACCAAUCUAGGCUUAGAAUCUUUCUUAGAAAGAAGAUAUUUCAAUCCUGCAUGAUCACUAAAAACAACAAUAGGUGAGCCAACAAGAUAAGACCUGAAUUUUUCACAAGCAAAUAUUACUGCAAGUAAUUCUUUUUCAGUGGUGGUGUAAUUCAUUUGAGCACUAUUUAAAGUUUUACUUGCAUAGUAAAUCACAUAAGAUUUCUUAUCUUUUCUUUGUCCUAAGACAACACCCACGGCAUAAUCACUAGCGUCACACAUAAUUUCAAAAGGUAAUGACCAAUCAGGAGGUUGAAAGAUAGGAGCAAAAGUAAGCAAGUUUUUAAGUUUAACAAAGGCUUCUUCAUAAUGUUCAGUCCAUUCAAAAAUAUUAUCCUUUGUUAGAAGGUUACUCAAAGGCUUAGAUAUUACACUAAAAUCUUUGAUGAACCUUCUAUAAAAAAACAGCAUGUCCUAAGAAUGAUCUAACAUCUUUAAUAGAUUUUGGUGUUGGCAAGUUAGCAAUUAACUCGAUUUUAGAUUUGUCAACCUCAGUUCCUUUCGAUGAAACAAUGUGACCAAGUACAAUGUUGUUUGUUACCAUAAAGUGACAUUUUUCCCAAUUCAAUACAAGAUUCUUCUCUUCACACCUGCUUAAAACCUUUUUCUAAGUUAGUCAAACAAUCAUCAAAUGAAUCACCAAAAACAGAAAAUCAUCCAUAAAAAUCUCAAGAAAACGUUCAACCAUAUCACUGAAUAUGCUAAGCAUGCAUCUUUGAAACGUGGCUGGUGCAUUACAUAAUCCGAAAGGCAUCCUUUGAUAUGCAAGAGUACCAAAUGGACAUGUGAAAGUAGUCUUCUCUUGAUCUUCCAAUGUAAUUUCAAUUUGGUUGUAACCUGAAUAGCCAUCUAGGAAACAAUAAUAUUCAUGACCUGCAACUCUUUAUAGGAUUUGAUCCAUGAAAGGUAAAGGAAAAUGAUCUUUUCUAGUCAUUGAAUUAAGUUUCCUAUAGUCAAUGCACAUGCGCUAACCAGUAAUAGUCCUAGUUGGAAUUAACUCAUUUUUCUCAUUUGUUAUCACAGUGACUCCAGACUUAUUGGGUACAACUUGGGUAGGACUUACCCAUUUGCUGUCAGAAAUAGGAUAACUGAUUCCAUUAUCUAAAAGCUUAAUGACUUCAUUUUUCACUACUUCUUUCAUAUUAGGAUUAAGCCUUCGUUGCAUUUCUCUAGAAGGUUUAGCAUUUUCCUCCAAAUAAAUCUUGUGUGUGCAAAUCAAAGGACUAAUUCCUUUUAUGUCAGCUAUGGUCCAUGCUAAUGCAUUUUUGUGCAUUUUCAGAGUUUGUAAGAACUUACCUUCUUGAUGUGCAUUAAGUUUUGAAGAGAUUAUUACCAGAAAAGUUUCAUUUUCUCCCAAAAAUGAGUAUUUGAGAUUGAAUGGUAACGGCUUCAAAUCAGGUUUUGGUGGUUGAACACUUGAAGGUAUGGACUCAAUUGAUCUUGGUGGAAAUUCUUCAAUUUUUGGUCUCCAACUAUUUGCCUUUGAUUCGUCCUGAAAAUAAACCAUUUGCAAAUCAUUAGAUUCAUCAAUCUCAAUCUCACUGGAAGUGGAUUGACAUUGAUCAUGAACUAAUUUUUCAGUAAAGUCCACUUCUUGUAAAUCAUUAUCAUCUCCAGGUUGCUUGCAAAUGUUGAAAAUAUUCAUCUCCAAUGUCAUGUUUCCAAAAGAUAGCUUCAUCAGUCCAUCCCUACAAUUAAUCAAUGCAUUAGAAGUUGCAAGAAAUGGACGUCCUAAAAUAACAAGAAAUGAAUUACAUGCUUCAACAGGUUGUGUGUCCAAGAGAAUAAAAUCCACAGGAUAAAUGAAUUUAUCGAUUUGUACUAACACAUCUUUAAUUAUUCCUCUAGGCACUUUUACAGAUCUAUCGGCAAGCAAAAAAGUUACAGAAGUUGGUUUUAACUCACCUAGAUUGAGACUCUAAAAAAUUGAAUAUGGAAGUAAAUUCACACUAGCUCCAAGAUUAAGUAGAGCUCUUUUAAUUUUAUGUUCUCCAAUAAAGCAAGAAAUUGUAGGACAACCAGGGUCUUUAUAUUUCAAAGCAUUAUUGUUCUGAAGAAUGACACUUACUUGUUCGGCUAAAAAGGCUUCUUUUUCACAUUCAGUUUUCUCUUCAUAGUGCACAGAUCUUUCAAAAAUUUAGCAUAAGAAGGAACCUGUUUAAUAGCAUCCAACAAAGGUAUAUUGAUCCUUACCUGUUUGAAAGUUUCAAAGAUUUCAGAGUUGUGAUUGACUUUCCUUUGUUUGGUCAUGGCAUGAGGAAAUGGAAGUGCUGGCACAGAAUCAAUCUUUUCUUUACAAUGUUCAGAUUCAACCCCUUCCUUACCCUCAGAGAUUGACUCAUCAUCUUUCUCACAAGGUUGAAGAAUGGGUUUUUCAAUAACCUUACCACUGCGAAGAGUGAUGACUGAUUUGGCUUGAUCUAUGUAUUAGCUUCCAGAACUACUUGCAUUCACAUUGUAUUGCCCCUUGGGAUUUUAUUGUGGUUGAGAUGGAAACUUAUCUUUCUCUUGAAAACUAAAAGUAGAUGUCAAUUUUGCAAGAGUAUCUUUAAAAUCUGUCAUGCUUUGAGCAAGUUGAGUGUUGAUUGUCUCUUGCUUUUCAAUGAAUGCAUGCAAUGUUUCCUCAAGAUUUCUUCUAGGAGGGGGAGCAUAAGGAGGUGCAUAUCCAUGAGAAUUUUGAAAAUUAUGAUGUGCUUGAAACGGUGGCUGUGAAGUUUGUGCAUUAUUGUUAUCACUCUUCCAAUUGAAAUUUGAGUGAUUUCUCCAACCAGGGUUGUAUGUUUGCAAGUAUGGGUUAUGAUUAGGCCUUUGGAAACUGUUUAAAGCAUGGGCUUGUUCAUGGAGACAUUCCUUAAAAGAAGGCAAAGUUGGACAGUCAUUGGUUGAAUGUUCAUUGGUUUCACAGAUUUGACACACAAUGUCUUGAACAGAUUUUAAUUGACCCCUCUUUUUCAAUUCUAGUGCCUCGACUUUUCUAGCUAAAGAUGCAACCUUGGCUUGGAGGUCAUGAUCUUCCCUAAGGUUGUACAUACCUCCACUAGAUGUAUGAGGUUGGGUUUUACUUGGUGCCUAAUAAGUGCCUGUAGUGUCCCAAUUUUCAGCUAGCAAGUCUAGGUACUCCAUUGCUUCAUUAAGGUCUUUAUCUUCAAAAGUUCCAUUGCACAUCAGUUCUACCAUUUGUCUAUCUUUAUGUGUUAACCCUUCAUAAAAAUGUGAAACCAAUCUCCAUGUUUCAAAACCAUGAUGAGGGCAAGUAUUAAGCAAGUCUCGAUACCUAUCCCAACAUUGGUAAAAUGUUUCUCCUGGUUUUUGAGUGAAAGUGGUGAUUUGUCUCUUGAAAGAGUUUGUUCUGUGAAAUGGAAAAAACUUCUUUAAAAAUUGUUGUUGCAUUUCAUCCCACGCACGAAUAGAUCCUGGUCUCAAAUUUUGUAGCCAUGUUUUAGUUUUAUCUUUUAAUGAAAAAGGAAAAAGCUUUAAUCUAAUGGUGUUCAUGCUACAAUUUGAGUCAUUAUAGGUGUUACAGACCUCCUUAAAUUCCCUUAAAUGCAAGUAUGGAUUUUCUAAAUCUAAGCCAUGAAAAGAAGGUAAAAGUUGAAUAAUACCUGGUUUAAAAUUAAAAUGAUAUGCAUCAGGAGGGAAAACUAUGCAUAAGGGUGCACUUGUUCUUGUGGGAUUCAUGUGGUCUCUAAGCGUUCUCACACGAUUAUUCUCAUUAUUCUCAUUAUGAAGCGACUGAUUAUCUUCUUCGGCCAUAUUUUCUGAAAAUGAUGAGGAUACCCUACAAAGUCUACCACUUAAUGUACGUGACCAAACUCUCAUGCACGUGUAGGUAGAGAAUAAAAUGAAGAAAAGAAAAGGAAACAAAAGAAAAGAAAAGAAACAAAAGUUAGAUAAAAUGAAAAGUGAAAAGAGAAAAUAAAAUAAGUAUUAUAAUUUAUACAAGAAUUUACCUGCCCGGCAACGGCGCCAAAAACUUGACACGACCAAAAGAUUGAUGUCUUCUCCCAAGUGCAGGAGUGUCGAAGUAAUAAAUAACCCGACAAGACCGGGGUCGAACCACAGGGAGGUUAACUAUAUAAAUUAUAAAUAACAAUACAACAACAACAACAAUAUUAAUAAUAUUAAUAAUAGUAAUAAUAAUAAUAAAGAGAGCUUUGAGAUGUGAUAUUGAUAUAAGGAUUAAACAAUGAUAAAAACAAUUGUCAAGGUUAGAGGAUCCAUUAAUAGUAUUUCAAACAAGUAUAGUAUAAACUCUUAUUAUUCAACUAGAAACCACACACAAAGGAGGUUCCAAUCAGAUUAUAAUUGUUAACAUGAUUAGAUUAGUUAUCUCAUCCGAAUAAUGCUAAUACUUGUAAAUGUUGUCAGACAUUCAUGAUUAUAACUUAUGUUAACAACAAAUCAAGUUCCUUUCAUAGCACAGGUGUCGGUUAUACCAUACGGUUUGAGCUAUAAAAGUGCCAAGUAUUUGUUGUAUCAAGGGUUAUACAACAUAAAUCUAGAUUAACCAUUUAACAAGCAAAGUAUUAAAGGUGAACAAGAUAACAAAUAUAAAACAUGUUAUUAUUAAACAUUAAAGUCCAUAUUGAGUUUACACUAUACUUAUUCUUACACCAUUAGUGUAAUCUUUUCACCUUGAUAUAAUAAACUAAGCUAAACAUAAUGAAGAAAAGAAACAUAAAUAAACAAGAUAAGAACAUAAAUAAGAUAUAAGUUAACUAAGUAAAGGAAAGGAAAUGAAAAGCAUAAACAAGAGAUUAAUAUAAACAAAACUUAAGCAUUACAAAAAGAGAGAGCAAGAGCAUGAUCUUGAUCUGAAAACCAAGAUGCCUAAAUGCAUGGUAAAUGCCUCCUUUUAUAGGCCAAAAUUUGAAACUAUUGAUUUGAUGACUAAUUGUUGAGUGGGUGGCCACAUCUUGACUUGGUGACAAUCCUUAUCUUCUUGUCUGAACAAAACGUCAUUGAUAAUGUUAGAAUUUGAACAAAUAGUCUUCAUAAUUAUAGGAAAUUGUCUCAGCUUUCCAGGGGAAAAAGAAUCAGUGCAUUUGGACUUCUAGAACUCAAGAUAUGGGCUUAACACUAAACAGCGUAUGGGCUGCAUGACAGAUUCUGACUUCUCUGUUGUUGCUAAGAUUUGGACUUCCAAGCAAUAGAAUUGAGUCUUGCACUCCCAUGAAUGUUUUAGGCCUAUGUUUUAGCUUUCUAGCCAUAUAAACCAAAUUAAAAUCCAAGAUCUACAACUUCAGAUAUGACCCAAUGACUGAAUAGUAUUCCAGUUUGGACUGGACCAACAUCUCUUUUCUAAACUUAACCCUCUCUUUGCCUCCUCAAUUUCAGUAGUUCAACUCAUCAAUCAAUCCUUUGAUUUAUGUGAUAGGCCUGCAUUUAAGAUGAAUAUUUACCAUAAAUUAAAGGUAUCUUAUAGUAUCAGACUUGUUAUUAUAAAACAUGCUUUAGUUAAGGAGUUAUUGAUACUUCAAGUGCAAAAUGAUGAUAUAAAACCUUGAUAACAAUGCACUUUUAAGUACUAAUCAGUGCCGAAGAUGUUAGAAAUUUAUGUUCCACAGCAUGAUCAAGAAAAGACAAUAAAUUAACAUUUAACAGUUCUAUGGGUUUAUGGUGAAUGUGUAGUUGGGCCCAAAAGGAAAUAUGAAAGAUCUCUUCCAAUGUGCCCAAACCUCCUGGUAAGGCAAUGAAGGCAUCGGCAUGGUUAAACACUGUAUUCAUUCGAUCAGACAUUGUGGAGACCUGUAGUUCCUCUCCAAUUGUUUUUUCAAUGAUGUCCCCUUUUGCUAAAGCUUUAGGGAAUCCCCCAAAACUUGACUACCUCCUAAAAAUGCAACUAUUGACAACCCCCCAUUUACCCAAGGUUGCCUCCCACAUACACUAAAUGAAUCUUUCUCUUAGCUAGUACUUGACCAAGAUGAUUUGCUGAUUCUAAAAACUCUUUUUCUUUUUUAGGACUAGAUCCACCGAAAGAACAAAUAUUUCUUAUGUGAUGACUUGAGGAGCCUGCCAUUUCUAUACACUUUUAUAUCUGUUGAAUGUAUGGGUUGAGUAGAAAUGAAGGGAAGGAAGAGAAGAUUUUAUAAAUGAGAAAUUAAAAAUGCAAUCAUACCACCUAUAUAUAGGCAAGCUGGAGUCUCAUUCUCUCUUUAUUUAUUUAUUUAUUUAUUUAUUUUGAAAAAGCAUGUGUAUGUACAGGAAGUUGUGAUUGUGGCUCACAGCUUCCCUUGGUUUUACGUCCAAGAACGGCUUAAACGCCCUCUAUGGGUCGAGGAUAGGCUUUCCAUCCAAUUUUCUUAAAAACUAGCAAACAGAAUCCAUAUUGUAAGAUUUUUGCAGUCGUCUUUUUUGACGAGAAAUGACUCUCACAUGCCUCAGAAUGACAAAGUUUAAUGACACUACUUACCUCAUUGUCCGAAAUUCAUCUUCGAAAUAUUUGAUUAGGACAAUAUUUGAAUAAGUAAUGGUCAUCCCAAUAAAAGUUCUUCACUUCGUUCAAAAACUUUCCUUUCUCUUCGGUACUCCAAUGAGCUGGCAAAUCUCCUGUUGCAAGAAAAUUGAUAUGAUUAGCAAACCAAGGCAUUGGACUAAGAGAAAGUAAGGAUUCGUCAGGAAAGUAAUCAUCGAUUGGUGUGAUGUCGGAUGUCGAAUCUAUUGUCACUCUUGACAAAAGAUCCGCAUCAACAUUUUCGGUGCCUUUUUCAUCCGUGAUUUCUUCCUGAGAAUAAAUCAUUUACAAAUCUUCAUAUUCAUCAAACUCAAUUUUACUCAAAGUAGAUUCAAGUUGAUCAUAAACUAAUUCUUCAAUAAAAUCUACUUCUUGUAAAUCAUUAUCAUCUCCAAGUUGCUUGCAUAUGUUGAAAAUAUUCAUCUCCAAUAUCAUGUUUCCAAAUGAUAGCUUCAUCAGUCCAUUCCUACAAUUAAUCAAUGCAUUAGAAGUUGCAAGAAACGGACGUCCUAAAAUAACAGGAAAUGAAUUAAAUGCUACAACAGGUUGUGUGUCCAAGAAAAUAAAAUCCACAGGAUAAAUGAAUUUAUCAACUUGUACUAACACAUCUUCAACUAUUCCUCUAGGCACUUUUACAGAUCUAUCAACAAGUAAAAGAGUUACAGAAGUUGGUUUUAACUCACCUAGAUUGAGACUUUGAAAAACCGAAUAUGGAAGUAAAUUCACACUAGCUCCAAGAUCAAGUAAAACAUUUUCAAUUUUAUGUUCUCUAAUAAAGCAUGAAAUUGUAGGACAACCAGGGUCUUUAUAUUUCAAAGCAUUAUUGUUUUGAAGAAUAGCACUUACUUGUUCGGCUAAAAAGGCUUUCUUUUUCACAUUUAGUUUUCUCUUCAUAGUGCACAAGUCUUUCAAAAAUUUAGAAUAAGAAGGUACCUCUUUAAUAGCAUCCAACAAAGGUAUAUUGAUCCUUACCUGUUUGAAAGUUUCAAAGAUUUCAGAGUUGUGAUUGACUUUUCUUUGUUUGGUCAUGGCAUGAGGAAAUGGAAGUGCUGGCGGGGAAUCAGUCUUUUCUUUGCAAUGUUCAGAUCCAACCCCUUCCUUACCCUCAGAGAUUGACUCAUCAUCUUUCUCACAAGGUUUAAGAGUGGGUUUUUCAAUAACCUUACCACUGCGAAGAGUGAUGACUGAUUUGACUUGAUCCAUAUGUUGGAUUCCAGAGCUACUUGCAUUUGCAUUGUAUUGCCCCUUUGGAUUUUGAUAUGGUUGAGAUGGAAACUUACCUUUCUCUUGAAAAUUGAGAGCAGAUGUGAGUUUUGCAAGAGUAUCUUUAAAAUCUGUCAUGCUUUGAGCAAGUUGAGUGUUGAUUGUCUCUUGCUUUUCAAUUAAUGCAUGCAAUGUUUACUCAAGAUUUCUUCUAGAAGGUGGAGCAUAAGGAGGUGCAUAUCCAUAAGAAUUUUAUAAAUUCUGGUAUGCUUGAAACGGUGGCUGUGAAGUUUGUGCAUUAUUGUUAUUACUCUUCCAACUAAAAUUUAGGUGAUUUCUCCAACCAGGGUUGUAUGUUUGCGAGUAUGGGUUAUGAUUGGGCCUUUGAAAACUGUUUAAAGCAUGAGCUUGUUUAUGGAGGCAUUCAUUGAAAGAAGGCAAAGUUGGACAGUCAUUUGUUAAGUGUUCAUUGGUUUUACAGAUUUGACACAUAGUGUCUUGAACAGAUUUUAAUUGACCACUCUUUUUCAAUUCUAGUGCCUCGACUUUUCUAGCUAAAGAUGCAACCUUGGCUUGGAGGUCAUGAUCUUUCCUAAGGUUGUACAUACCUCCACUAGAUGUAUGAGGUUGGGUUUUACUUGGUGCCUCAUAAGUGCCUGUAGUGUCCCAAUUUUCAGCUAGCAAGUCUAGGUACUCCAUUGCUUCAUUAAGGUCUUUAUCUUCAAAAGUUCCAUUGCACAUCAGUUCUACCAUUUGUCUAUCUUUAUGUGUUAACCCUUCAUAAAAAUGUGAAACCAAUCUCCAUGUUUCAAAACCAUGAUGAGGGCAAGUAUUAAGCAAGUCUCGAUACCUAUCCCAACAUUGGUAAAAUGUUUCUCCUGGUUUUUGAGUGAAAGUGGUGAUUUGUCUCUUGAAAGAGUUUGUUCUAUGAGAUGGAAAAAACUUCUUUAAAAAUUGUUGUUGCAUUUCAUCCAAACACGAAUGGAUCCUGACCUAAGAUUUUGGAGGCCAUGUUUUGGCUUUAUCUUUUAAUGAAAAAGAAAAAAGCUUUAAUUUGAUGGUGUUCAUCUACAAUUUAAGUUAUUAUAGGUGUUUUGGUAAUUCAAUUCAAUAAUUCGUUUUGGUAAUUCUUACUGAUAAAAUAAAUCAACAUAUCAAUUCAUUCAAUCCAAUAAUUCAUUUUGAUAAUCAUUACCUGUAAAAUAAAUCAACAUAUCAAUUAAUUCAACCCAAUAAUUCAUUUUGAUAAUCCUUACCGAUAAAGUAAAUUAACAUAUUAAUUAAUUCAUUUCAAAAACACUUAUAAAACCUCUCAAGCAAUAAAUGAAUUUUCCCCAAACUCUCUAUUUUGUUUUGUUUUCAUAGCAUGCACUAAUCCCCUCUAUAACCCAUGAUAUUUUCUUCGAUUAUCUACUAUAAGACAUUAUUUGUAACAUAAUUCACCCUAAUUGCAAUAGUUUAUAAUAAUAUAACAUUUUCCCCAAAUUAUUCUUUAAGAACCCUAACUAGAAAAAAUUAAUUUCAUGCAUAAAACUAGAGUUUAUUCCAUAAAUCUCACAUCAUUGGGUUUAAAACUUCUUACCAAACGUGAAAGUGAACUUCAAAUGUUAACCAAUCAAUUCUCUCUCUAGAACCUCAAAUUUCUCCUUCAAAUUCUCUAGAACCCCUUUGAUUUAUGAUGAAACCCAAUCAAUUUCAAGAGAAAAAAAUGAAGAAAUUUUGAAACCCUCUCCCCCUCUCUCUCUAGCAGUAGCCGACCACCAAUGGAGAGGAAGAAUUGAUUUUUCUUUUCUUCUUUUUUAUUCAUAGUUUACCCUUCUUAUAAAUGUUUAACAUCCUCUUAUCAUUUAUUUAUUUACUAAAUCAUGUAAAAAAAAUUAACUAGUGUUCUUAUAAAUACACUCAGCCACUACCACAACAUUAGUAAAUUACUAAGCUGAGCUACUCAUUACAUGCUCAUAAUAGGGUGCUUUAAGGGUAUUAGCAAACAGGGUAGCCAUCUUUUUAUCCAAGAAUAGGGGAUGUACUUGGACAAUCAAAUCUCUCCAUCAUUGAGCAUAUUCAUUACAUGCUCAUAAUAGGGUGCUUUAAGGGUAUUAGCAAACAAGGUAGCCAUCUUUUUAUCCAAGAAUAGGGGAUGUACUUAGACAGUCAAUCUCUCCAUCAUUGAGCAUAUUCACAUAUAGUCUCCUUAUCUCCCUUUUUCCAUAAGAGACAGACUAACCUGUCAGGAGCAAUGUUCAUGUUGUACUUGUAUUGCUUAAUAAAAGCAUCUACAACAUCCUUCCACUUUCAUAUUUUCAUGUUGUCUACCACCUUAAUGCAGCUCCACUCAAGCUAUCUAGAAAGAAAUUCAUUAAUAACUUUUCAUCAUGCACAACCUUUGUCAUCUUAUUAUAGUAGGAUUUGAGAUGAGUGGAAGGACAUUGAGUUUCAGUAUAUUUUAUAAAUUCAGGUACAUGAAAUUUCUUCAAUAUGAUCACAUUUGGUAUAAGGCAUAUCUUGGCAGCUUGGACGAGAUCGUAUAAGUCAAUACCUUCAAUGGCCCUCACAUUUGCCUCUGAUGUUGUUAUCUUAUCAUACUCGACAUCAUCAUAUUAUAUUUUAUCUUGUGAGACUCAUUAGUAGAUGCAUCCAUAACUAUUAGGGUUAGUGUAUAUAUAGUCGGCUACAUGAAUUCCAUAUUAUAGUGGGGUUCUUGACCUUGGCCAUUGAUCCUUUUUUUUUAAGUUAGAUUAUAGCCUAAGCAUGGGCAAAGAUCACAGACCGAUUAUAUGGGCCUUCACCAAAGAUAUUCUUAAGCGUCUUCUCAAGUAGGUUGGUAAUGCGAACCAUGUUGAGUUUCAAGGAGUCCAACUCCCUUUCAAAAUGAGCAUCAUAAUGGGCAUGUUCAUCUUCUUCUAUGUUUCUUCAUUGAAGUCUAGUGUUGUAGAUUCUGUAGAUUUGGAUUUUAUAGGGACCAAUAUUUCAACUUGUACAUGCAUACAUGAUAUUUAAAACCCCAAAGCAUGCAUGCAUGCAUGAUGCUCAUGGAUGAAUGCAAAUGAGUAUAUGUAUACAUACAUUAAAUAUGGAUUAGUAUGUUCAAAGAGCUAAUCCAUGACUUGUUUUUUUAAUACAGAUAAAAUUCAUAGUAUGAUGAAUCUAAAGGGAUCUUUUCAUGAGUCCUCAUCUCGAUUAAAUCCAAUAUAUGUUGAAGAGUACAAUACAAAAUGAUGGGUUUGAGCCCCUUUCAUCAAUAAAGACAAAUAGUUCUUAGAUAUGGAGAUGAGUGUUUUUUUUACAUGUGGAGAGAUAACAUUCCUAUGCAUCUCUAUUCAUCCUCAAAAGAAAUACCCCUAUUAGCUACAUUUUAAAUGAAAGUUAAAACAUCAUUAAAGUAUUCCUGGUAUGUGCUAGCAUUGUUGUUGAUUAGAGAAGCCUUCACUCACAGUUCAUUUGCCUUUUAAGUCACCUUAUCAAUUAACUUGUUUGUAUGUUCUAUAUUAUAAUGAAACAAAGUAUUGUCUUAAAGUAGCAUAUUAUUGCGUGUGGCCAGUGACUCAUUGUUUCUAUUUAGUAUCUGAAGUGUCAUUUUUGGUUGUUAGAUCUGGUUUCUAACCCUUGGAAAUUCUUCUCACUCAAUAUUAAGUUCAUUUGUCUUUGUGUUUUGCCUUAGUUCACUCAACUCUUUCUCGGCCUCUAGAUAUUACCCUCCCAGCUUCUUUAAUUCAUCCUCUCCAAUUUCUAAGUCAGAUUGAACCAUGGUGACUCGUUCUCUUAAUUUGAAUUUUCUAGUUCAAACUUUUCUUGGAUCGUAUCAAUAUAGGCCUAGCAGGACUAGGUCCCACAACACCUGACCUUUUUUUAAAUUUGCUUUUAUUUUUUAUUUAAAUUUUAAUUAAUACCCUCUUUUUAAAAAAUUAUUUAGCAUUUUUUUAAUAGUAAUAAAUCUUUUGAUUUGUUUCCAUUAUUUCAUAAUACUUCAAAGAGAUUAUUGUAUUUCUUUAUUUUUUUUCUUUUUAUAUUUUAUAUAGAUAAAAUGUACUUGCUUGAUGUAUUUAUGAGAAUCAUUUGUAUUUAGUGACUAGAAUUAUUCUCUAAGAUAAAUAAAAGAAAAUAUAUAGAAAAAAAGGAUAACCAAGGUAAAAUAUUUGUACAUGCAUCUAUUUUUUAUUUCUAAUAAAGAAAAACUUCUUGUUUUAGUCUUUAAUUAAUAUUAAUAAUUAUUUUUUUAUCUAGUAGUGUUGCGAUGUCGCAGUCGCACAAAUUAAUUACCCUAGCUUAAAACACAACACACAAGAUAUUAUAAAGCAAGCAAGGGGUCGAUCCCACGAGGAAGGUUUAAGUCAGAUUUUUAUGCUAGAUGAUAUGCAAUUUGGGGUGGGUUUGGACGUUAUCUCGGCUAAAGCAAAAGAAAACAAAAAAUUAUCAAACGAAAUUAAAUAAAAUCAACAAAUUAUCAAGAGAACAAACCUUGGUAACAAGUAAACGUCCACCUACAAAAAUCAGAACUGAUCAUGGAAAUGAAACAUCAAUUUAUAUUCUAAAUAUUUAUCUCUUCUUAACAUUGGUUAGUUAACGGAUCCACCGUAUAACUAACCCUAACCAUCAAACAACCACAGUGUACGUACUAGUAAUUUAAUUUAAUGGCAGCCUUAAGAACUAGAUAAGUUGAUUAAUCAAGAAAACAUAAUUGUCUGCAGUCUAUGUUUGAUUUGAUUGAAUGUUCUCCCUAAGAUUAAUAACGUAGAUCCGCUACAAUUAUUAAACUCAGUUGCUUCACAGGUUCAUAUACCACAACUCCGGUUUUGAUAUCAAACUUAGCAAUAGAUUGUCUACAAUAAUAACUUAGAGUCCGAUCUACAAAUUAAAAUAAACAAUCAUAGGAAAAAUAAGCAUAGGAGAACAAACAUAUUCAUCAUAUAAACUAAAAAGAAAAGGAAAAAUAAAUCUCACAGUUCUUGAAAUCCGAAGGUUUCCGUGUCCUUGCAACCAAGAAAAAGAGUUUAGUCUUGCAUGUUUGUUGAACAACUAAACAAAAAGGAGGAAUGCAUGAUUUCGGGUUUCUUAGAGGAAGGGGGCGUUUUUCUCUUCUUGGAUGUUGCCCCCUUCUCUUCUCUCAUUCUUUUUAUAUCCUAGGAAACUCUAGUCUCUAUUUUACAAAAUAGUCCUCCCUUAACUAGAUAGUUUACAUUUAAGUACUUCAAUAACUAUUUUUCUAAAAAAUGAGAAAUAGCCUUGCAUGAAAUCUUCAAGAUUUAACUUAGAUGAGCUAAAUUGCUGAAAUAAAAACUUGGAUGUCGGUUUAGAUGCUUCAGAACAUAAUUUGGACUCGUUUCUUCACGAAACCUGUUUAUUGGCAGAAUUCAGUUGUCAUCUUUGAAAAAUCAUAUCUCCCUCAUAUGACAUCUUUUUUUGCUAAAAUUUAGAGCGUUGAUAGGUAUCGGAGUCAGGAAUCUAACAAAAUUGAGUUUGCAUCAUUGGACUUCUGGAGUUAGAUAUUCAAGUCGGAAUGGCCGAAGGUCAACACUAGCAGAUUGCGAGAUUUGACUUUGAAGGCUGCGAUUUCCAUGCUCUUCUUUAUUUUAUUUUCUUGCCUUAGAUUUCCAAAAAGGUAUGGAUGUUAGCUUUUUAAUGCCACUAGAAUCACUUCAUUUCGACCUCUAACGCUCACGUUAUGCACAAAACAUCAACUGAAGGUCAAAUCUGCCAAUUACCUCCAAUAUACUUCUUUUUGCAUCUUUCAUCCAAAAGUGCCUUCAAAACAUAAACCAAAGAAUAUCAAGGCAUUUUAUAUGUCGCACCCUCGCGAGCGAAGCGCGGCGUCGCGGCGAUCCUCGAUUGAUUUCGGGGUCUUUUGUUUUAUUGUGAAUAAGGGAGUCGCCACCUAGUAUUUUGGUCACUAGGAACCCUAACUGGUCUUUCAGAGAUUCUAAGGCAAGGGACUGGUUGCGUAAAGGGAAGGUAUUAGCACCCCUAGUACGCCCUACCUAAGGUAAGCUGCUUGGUGUUUGGUUUCUUUAUAAUUGCUAUGGUGUUGGUGUUUUCUAAUCCCAUCAGUUUUCCUAGGUUUGAUUCAAACUAAAUUUAUAGAAAUCCAAGGAGAUUCCAUGUGCUUUAAAAGCUCAUUUUUCCCUUAGUAUUUCAAGAGUUUGCGACUCGUAAAUCGCAAGGAGGAGGGACAAAAAUCUAAGGAAAUUCAUGACGCUUUAAAAGCAUAUUUUUGCCUUAGUGUUUCAUACUCUCACGGCUCGUAAACCGUGGAGUAAAAAAAUUGAAAUGUCCUCGAUUAUAAUUAAGGCUUCUUUCAAGGAUGUGUGAUGACUUAUUAUUCCUAGAAAAAUAUUUUGGAUAUUAACCACUUGGGGUUUCUUUAUCCAAACAUUAACAGCGAAUAAUAACAAGUUAUUCCCAAUAAUAUUUUGGAUAUUCAUCCCUUUGGGAUUUCUUUAUCCAAACAUUAACGGUGAAUAAUAACAAGUUAUUCCCAAUAAUAUUUUGGAUAUUCAUCCCUUUGAGAUUUCUUUAUCCAAACAUUAACGGUGAAUAAUAGAUGAUUUCCCCCAAAAAAAUAAGAUUUUUGUAUUUUUUUGGAAUAUUGGCCAAUAUCCUUUGGAGUUUUACAAACAUGUUGUAAAAUUCAGAAAUGCAAGAGAAAUAUUUUUUUAUUGUGUUUAAGAAAUUCAUGCGAAAACACAUUUUCAAAACUUCAAAUAUUUAUUUUUUAUAUAUAUAAAAAAAACGUUCAAAACAUGUUAGGGUAUUGGCCGUAUGCAUGAAAACAUUUUAUAUAUAUAUGUAUAUUUGCCAUCUUUGCGUUGAAAACCGGGUAUUCUAAAUGCGAGAUUGAUAUAUUUUUUUAUAAUAAAAAAAAAAUACAACCUUAAAAUAAAUAUGCUAGAAAAUCAUCAAUCUCUCUCUCUUUCUUUUUUUGGAGAAAAAAAAAGGGUGAAACCAGUAGAUCCGGCCGGGUCACUUGCCAAAGCAAGUGACCCGGCUGGACACAAACAAUAAAAAAAGCUACUGUUCAAGUGAAUUAUAAUUCAUUUGAACAGUAAACACAAAAGGCAUGCACAAUAGCUAUGUAAUUAAAAUGCAAAGUGAAGAGAAUGCAUGGAAACUUACCUGGCGCUGAAACGGGCGAAGGCGAUGGCGCUGAGACGACUAGACGCUGCUCUUGCUUAUUGCUUCUCAAAGUGGCUGAGGAAUUGCAAAUGGUGAUGAUCGCGCCCCUGCUGGUUCUUGCUCCCAGUGUAGAGAAGAAAACACAGCUACUGCUGGCGAUGGGGAAGAGAUAUGGACGACUGGGAUCAGCUGCUGCUGCAGAGACGAGACUGGUCGCCAUCCUGGAUUGCUGCUGCGGCUAGUACCUGCUCCUGGUGAUUGAGGGGCUGCGAGUCAGCGAUGGCUUCCGGAGCUGAAGACGACGCCGCUGUUGAAGCUGGAGACGGCUGUGUACUGGUGCAGGACUCAGAGAAGAGCUGUCUGUUUGGAAUGUUAAGCAAAGCUCCUGACGCUAGCUGCUUGUGGCUCACGGUUUUGGCUGGUCUUAAGAGAAGUUGCCGGACCGUGGGGGAGAAUCUGGUGGUGAUGGGGAGAAGCCAAAAAGAAAGAAGGAGAGGACGAGGCUUUGGUUUUCUUGCUGUUCGGGUGAUAGAGGGAAGAUGUGUUUCGGUUUUGAGAAUGGAGAUGGAAAGGGCAGUGUGCGGCUGAAGGUGAGUGGUCGAGAGAGAGUCUGAAAGUUUGUGUUGAUGAGCGGCUAUGAGCUGUUUUUUAGACUGACGGGAAGGGAAAACUUUGCUGAGGGAAGGGGAAGGUCUGUGAAAAGAGAGAUGGGGCUGUGACUUUAAUGGGGUUCUCUGGUUUUGCAAGGGAAGAAUGGAGAUGGGGAACUAACAAAGAGGGGAGCUGCUGCGUUUUGGAGGAGAGAUGGCGAUGGUGGAACGGCUGAAAGGGGAAUGAGGGUUCUAGUGAAAGGGAGAGGGGACUGUGUAUGGCCAGAGAGAGAUCCUUCAUUUCCUCCAAGGGAGGGGCUGCUUCGUUGUUUUUAUUUUUAAAAGAUGAGCAGGGGCUACGACUUCUUUGCUAGAGAAAUAGGGUUAGGGUUUUUCUAUGUUUCCCUCGAUUUUUGUUUGUCUCUUUGCCCCUUGUCAAUUUUUUUUUCAUGCAUAUGGCUGAAUGUUUAUUUAUAUAGAAAAUCUUUACACGUUCUAUUUAAAGAAAUAUUGCAAUAAUUAUUGCAGAGAUUGUCUUUUAUAACCAGCACCAACAAAUCCUAUAUAUAUAGUAUUUUUUAUUGCAGUUAUUAUUUUCCAUAACUAGCACGAAUCAAAUCAUAUAUCUAUGAUAUUGCAGUAAUUAUAUAUGAUUUAGUAAUUAUCUCCUUGACAUAUUGCUUCCUUAACCCUGAUGCUCUAUGUUCUCGCCACAUGUAAAUCUUUAUUUUUUUUAUUUUUUAUUUUUUAUUUUUUUUAUUAUUUUUAAAAAAAUUAUCAAAACAUGGGUCAAAAUUUGGGUAGCAACAGAUGCCCCCUCUUUACAAUGCUUACGAAGCAAAACUCCUCAAUGUUUUGCAUAGUAAGCUUGUAAAGAAAAAAAGUCUUCCAUGCUUGCUGAGUGAUCCACUCAUCCAAGGACUUCAUUUUCUAAAAGAAUAUUUGUCUCGUUAUCAAGGGUGACCUGCCCCUUUUUUUUUUUUAAAGAAAAUUGUUCUAUUUUCACAGGCGAUCUGCCCACACACAUCCAAACCUGGUCUAUUUUCAGGGGCGACCUGCCCACAUACUAACGCUGGUCUAUUUUCACGGGCGACCUACCCUUUUGAUUGGGUUAACCUGAGAUCCCAUCUGGCGAUCUCUUUUAAUCUGAAGCAAAGUCGGUGUGUAGCUCGGUUAACCUGAAAUCCCAUCUGGCGAUUCCCUUUAACCAAAGCUAAACUCUGCGUGGGUUUGGGUUAACCUGAGAUCCCAUCUGGCGAUCUCCUUUAAUCCGAAACCAAUACAAAAAUGUGUGUGUGGUCUUAUUAUGACAGGUGACCUACCCAAAUGCAAGAUGGUCUCAUUCUGACGGGUGACCUACCCAAAUGCAAGAUGGUCUCAUUAUAAUGGGUGACCUACCCAAGUGGAGAGAAGGGAAGAGUGGUCUCAUUCUUAUGGGUGACCUACCUAGGGGAAGAAUGGCCUCAUUAUAAUGGGUGACCUACCCAGGUAAAAAAAUAGAGAAUGGUCUCAUUCUAAUGGGUGACCUACCCAGAAAAAAAAAUGGUCUCAUUGUGAUGGGUGACCUACCCAAGUGGAAAAGGGAAAGAGUGGUCUCAAUCUUAUGGGUGACCUACCUAGGGGGAAGAAUGGCCUCAUUAUAAUGGGUGACCUACCCAGGUAAAAAAAAAAGAUGGAGAAUGGUCUCAUUCUAAUGGGUGACCUACCCAGAAAAAAUGGUCUCAUUAUGAUGGGUGACCUACCCAAGUGGAAAGGGGAAAGAGUGGUCUCAUUCUUAUGGGUGACCUACCCAGGGGGAAGAAUGGCCUCAUUAUAAUGGGUGACCUACCCAAGUAAAAAAAGGUGGAGAAUGGUCUCAUUCUAAUGGGUGACCUACCCAGAAAAAAUGGUCUCAUUGUGAUGGGUGACCUACCCAAGUGGAAAAUGAUGGUCUCAUUAUGAUGGGUGACCUACCCAGAUGUAAAAGAAAAGGAUUUUAGAAAGGGGUCUCAAUAUCUGGAGACCUGCCCGUUUUAUUUUUUAUUUUUAUUAAAAAAAACUCCACGCUUUUGCUAGGGAAUGGUCUCAAAAUCGGAUGACCUUCCUAUUUCAAAAAUUUUAGAAAAACUCACGUUGUUUUUUUUUUAAAAAAAAAUGGUCUCAAUAUCGGGUGACCUGCCCGUUUUAUUUUUUUUAUUAUUUUUAUUUUUAUUAAAAAAAACUCCACGCUUUUGCUAGGGAAUGGUCUCAAAAUUGGAUGACCUUCCUAUUUCAAAAAUUUUAGAAAAACUCACGUUUUUUUUUCAAAAAAAAAUGGUCUCAAUAUCGGGUGACCUGCCCGUUUUGAACUUCAAAAGAAAUCAUCUUACCUCGAGGAAUGAAGCAGUGCCGCUUCACAAUUACUAUCCUUUUCCGUAGUUCCGUUGACCUAUUUUCGGAAAUAUAGGUCCCUCCUUUCCGUUGUGGACUUCUUCGAGCUCCUGUUUCCAUUUGUUUGUUCGACCUAUCCUCUUGAACUGGAAUAUGCUCCACGCGCUAUAUUUCCUAUCCUUUUCAUGCUUGAUGAAGAGAUCUCCAGUUCCUCAUGGGGCCCUUUCUUGCUCCAUUGAACGUUGCUUUGUGUUAUACUUUUACCGAUGUUUUAAUUGUCUUUUCCUCUUCUUUUUUUUGAGAAAUUAUUUUUAAAAGGAAAACUCAAAAAAAUUGGUUUUGUUCAUGAAAACUAAAACUUUCAAUGCAAUCAUCAUAUUUUGUUUUAAGUAACUCUCAUAAAAGGUGUUUCAGAAGUUCUAUGAUGAUACCACUUUGGGCUUUGGUUCACUAAUAGACCCCUAUGUGCGCUUUUUGCCCCCUAGUGUGGUGUACAAAACCUAUCAGGUUUAAAUUUGGUUUGGGAUCCCUCCAAUUUUGAGAAUGGAUUGAGUCAUCUUCUUAGUCAUGUGUAAAAACAGUUUUUUUUAAGUAAAAGAUUUUGAAUGCUAUGAGAUCAUGCGCUUUAUGAAGAAAAGGUUUUUUACAGAGAGAAUUCAUGGCCGAGCAUAGUAUUUCUUUAUAGAGUCAGCAUUCACAGGUCUAACUAGAUCUUCUCAAUCCAUUCUAGAUAACAAUAAAGCUCCUCCCGAGAACGCUUUCUUUACCAUGUAAAGGCCCUUAUUGUUUGGCGUCCAUUUACUCUGAUCUUCUCCUGGUAAAGGCUAUAUUUUCUUCCGUACAAGAUCUCCUUCGUUUAAUCCUCGGGGUCAGACCUUAUUAUCAUAUGGUUUGGCCAUCUUUGAUGAUGACAAAUUGCAGCUAUCCUCUUUUCACUUAUCAGAUUCAACUAUUCAUAUCUAACUUUUACUCAUUUCACCUCUUCUAAACUCAGAGUCUACCACUACUCUUAAUGAGGGGUUUUCCACUUCUAAAGGCAUCACCGCCUCCAUUCCAUAUACCAACGUAUAUGAGGUGGCUCCUAGUGAGGUUUAGACUGCGGUGCGGCACGCAUAAAGGGCCAAUGGCAACAUCUCAUGCCAAUACUUGUACGUGACUACCAUCUUUUAAAUAAUGUUCUUGACAUUUUCGUUAGCAGCUUCUACCACACCAUUCAUUUUUGGCCUAUAUGGCGAGGAAUUGGAAUGCUUGAUUUUCCAUCUAGCGUAGAGUUCUAUUAUCAUCUUGCCAUUAAAGUUCUGGGCAUUUAUUAGGUAUAAUCUUUUCUAGUCGACCAUAUCGACAGAUCAAAUCUUUUUUCAUAAAUUUCUUCACCACUUUUUGCCUCUAAACAUCUCAACAAAAAUCUCGUUAGAUGAUUUUUUCACACAAAGUUUCCCCAUCAAGACAGAAAUCCCUUGCCAACCUCCUCAAAGUCUUCUUGUCGAUUGUGGAUGCCCCCAUGAGAUAUGUCUAGUUUUUUGGAUGAAAUUCUUGAUAUCAUAGUACCAAGGGUUUCCAUCUAUUUCUCUCUCAACUGAGCAACAAUGAGCUGGGUUAUUUCUUAUAUCAAUGUGUACCGACUGUACCUUAUGCCCAAAGUCUAUUCUAGCCAUAGAAGCUAACGUGACCAAAGCGUUAGCAAAAUGGUUUCCUUCCCUUCCUAGAUGGGUGAACUUUAUUUCCUCAAAUUCUCUAGCCAAUUUAGACAGUUAUUCUUGGUAAGGUCUCAACUUCUCAUCCUUGAUUUGCCAUUUUCCUUUCACUAAUCAAAAUCGAGUCUAUUACAGCUACUAAAAAUUGUUAAGGAAAUAAAGAAUGGGAUAAAAAUAGUUAUCUUUCUAAGAACUUUCUUACAUCCUUCUCAUCCUUGGGAGUUGGCAUAGAUUGAAUAGCCUUUACUUAACCAAGGUCCACUUCUAUCCUUUUGUCACUCAUCCUAAAUCCCAACAACUUCCCAGAUUUCACCCCGAAUGAACACCUUGCAUGGUUAAGCCUCAACUUGUACUUUCUUAGUCUUUCAAAUAAUUCCUUCAAUAUUUGGAAGGAUUCUCUCCCUCUCUAGAUUUAGCAAUCAUGUCAUCCACGUAUACUUUAAUCUCUUUUUGCAUCAUGUCGUGAAAUAGAGCCACCAUGGCCCUUUGGUAGGUGGCCCCGACAUUCUUUAACCCAAAUGGCAUGACUUUGUAGCAAAAGGUUCCCCACAGUGUUACAAAGGUUUCUUCUCCUUAUCCUCUUGCGUCAUUUUUAUCUUAUUGUAGCCAGAAAAUCCAUCCAUAAAGGAAUAUGUGUAGCUACAUGAUGCAUUGUCAACCAACAUAUCUAGGUGUGGUAGAGAAAAAAUGUUUUUAGGGCUAGUCCGGUUUAAGUCCCUAAAGUCCACACAAACUCUAAUUUUAUCUUCCUCUUCGGGUACUCCUCCUAUGUUGGACACACAUUACGGAUACUUGACUAUUUCUAGAAAACCAGCAUUCCACUGCUUUUCAAUUUAUGUCUUUACCUUGAUCAAGACAUUCAGAUUGGUCCUUCUCAACCUUUGCUUAACCGAUUUGCAUCCUUCUACUAGUGGUACCCUAUACAAACCAGGCAUAACCUUGUAGGACCAGGGAAAAAAAAAUCUACAUAAUCUUGGAGUAAUGCAAUCAACUCUUCUCUUUCUUUAGGGGUGAUCAAAGUCCCUAUCUUCAACUCUCUCUUGAUUUUUUUCAUUGCCAACAUCUAUGGUUUCAAAUUCCUCUUUAGCGGGUUUCCAAGCUUGUUCAUGUUGUUCUUAUUAAUUUUUGUGAAUCCCCUAAUAUUAUUUUCUUUAAAGUUUGACCAUUUAUUCUCGGUGUAAAGUGCAUGUGUUUGUUAUGGAAGAUCUGCUUUUAAGGUUUUUAAAAGCAAAAAGUGAUGUGUAAAUGCAUAGUAAAAACAUAAAGAUAAACUUUUGAAAAUGCAUGAUCUCAUUAAAAGGAAAAGUUUGGCUAAAAAAAAAAAACAAGGAUAAAAUUCCAUUGACAUUUGGAACCUCGAUUUAAAAAAGUGAAAAAAGGCAAACAGCACAAUAUCAUGAUCAAACAAGCGUUGUUGAUUAAAUUUGAACACCUAUGGAGCUUCUUGGGUCUCCCAACUCUGGAACAUCUCUCCCUUGGCUAGCUUUUGAAUGAAGGUCUUAAGAUUCAAGAUGCUUUGAGCUUAGGCUUGUUUAGAUGCAAAACGAUAUUAUGGAGCAUAAAUCCUAAUGAUAGGUUCUAGUUCCUUUACUUGGUCUUUAAAAAGGGUCUCUUGCUGUCCUAGUGAUCACCCUCGUAAAGGCAAUAUGGGGGUUCAGCAGAUAGUGGGAUGGUACAUGUACCAAUCACUAUCAGUCUAAACACUCAGCAAAGAGUUGGGGUUUACACAAACUUAAACCUUGACUCAAGUCAUAAGGCAAGCUGCUAGUCCCCCGCUUAACUUAAAAUUUAAUGUGUGUGCUCUCCAAAAAGAAAAUAAUGAUAAAGUGAGGAAUGACUAAAUCAUGUAUGACCAGAAUGUAAAGAUGCAUGCUAAAGCUUUUAAACAAAUUAUCAUUCAUAGUAAAAAAAACAACACACAGCAUAAUAAAAAAACAAUUACCAAGCUUAGUCCAAGGGUCCCCAGCGGAGUCGCCAUCCUGUCGCACCCUCGCGAGCGGAGCGCGGCGUCGCGGCGAUCCUCGAUUGAUUUCGGGGUCUUUUGUUUUAUUGUGAAUAAGGGAGUCGCCACCUAGUAUUUUGGUCACUAGGAACCCUAACUGGUCUUUCAGAGAUUCUAAAGCAAGGGACUGGUUGCGUAAAGGGAAGGUAUUAGCACCCCUAGUACGCCCUACCUAAGGUAAGCUGCUUGGUGUUUGGUUUCUUUAUAAUUGCUAUGGUGUUGGUGUUUUCUAAUCCCAUCAGUUUUCCUAGGUUUGAUUCAAACUAAAUUUAUAGAAAUCCAAGGAGAUUCCAUGUGCUUUAAAAGCUCAUUUUUCCCUUAGUAUUUCAAGAGUUUGCGACUCGUAAAUCGCAAGGAGGAGGGACAAAAAUCUAAGGAAAUUCAUGACGCUUUAAAAGCAUAUUUUUGCCUUAGUGUUUCAUACUCUCACGGCUCGUAAACCGUGGAGUAAAAAAAUUGAAAUGUCCUCGAUUAUAAUUAAGGCUUCUUUCAAGGAUGUGUGAUGACUUAUUAUUCCUAGAAAAAUAUUUUGGAUAUUAACCACUUGGGGUUUCUUUAUCCAAACAUUAACAGCGAAUAAUAACAAGUUAUUCCCAAUAAUAUUUUGGAUAUUCAUCCCUUUGGGAUUUCUUUAUCCAAACAUUAACGGUGAAUAAUAACAAGUUAUUCCCAAUAAUAUUUUGGAUAUUCAUCCCUUUGGAAUUUCUUUAUCCAAACAUUAACGGUGAAUAAUAGAUGAUUUCCCCCAAAAAAAUAAGAUUUUUGUAUUUUUUUGGAAUAUUGGCCAAUACCCUUUGGAGUUUUACAAACAUGUUGUAAAAUCCAGAAAUGCAAGAGAAAUAAUUUUUUAUUGUGUUUAAGAAAUUCAUGCGAAAACACAUUUUCAAAACUUCAAAUAUUUAUUUUUUAUAUAUAUAAAAAAAAACGUUCAAAACAUGUUAGGGUAUUGGCCGUAUGCAUGAAAACAUUUUAUAUAUAUAUGUAUAUUUGCCAUCUUUGUGUUGAAAACCGGGUAUUCUAAAUGCGAGAUUGAUAUAUUUUUUUAUAAUAAAAAAAAAUACAACCUUAAAAUAAAUAUGCUAGAAAAUCAUCAAUCUCUCUCUCUUUCUUUUUUUGGAGAAAAAAAAAGGGUGAAACCAGUAGAUCCGGCCGGGUCACUUGCCAAAGCAAGUGACCCGGCUGGACACAAACAAUAAAAAAAGCUACUGUUCAAGUGAAUUAUAAUUCAUUUGAACAGUAAACACAAAAGGCAUGCACAGUAGCUAUGUAAUUAAAAUGCAAAGUGAAGAGUGUUGGUUAAUUUCGCAAGUGCACGAAUCGUAACAAGUAAUAAAGUGAUAAGUAGAGUAUCGUCCCACGAGGAUUUGUAAAAAUUACUACUAAUUACCAAAGUCUUUUAAAUUAUGAUCUAUUUGAGGAAUCGAAUGAGAUAGUUUAUGAAACAAAAAUUAAUGAUUAAAAAAAAAAAACAAACAACCAAAUGAUUAAAUAUUAAUGAAUUAAAUUGUACUGGUUCUAGGAUUUAUGACUUACCGUAACUAUGCCUAUGUGAACUUUCUCGAUUAAAUUAAUUACUCCUAAUGUUGAUAAUCAGGUUUUCCUAAUGUAAAUAUUAAUCUCUCUCGAGCAUCAAUAAAUUAUUUCGACAAACAAAUUUCAUAUACUCUACGAAAGUUCUGAACUUGUCGAAAUUAAUUAAAUACUGUAAAACCUGUAACAAUUACAAAAGUUCCUAGGAUAUCUCUAUCUUAUAGAUUUCUUAAGGUAUUUCAAACAAUAGCUAAAACAAUUAUCACUUCUCAGUUUCAAAUUGAAUUCUAAAUCAUGCAGAUGUUGGCCAAACACACGCAAGCAUUACACAUAGAAUGAAAUACUCAACAUCUUAAUGUAAUAAUUCAAUCGAAGAAAUUGUUCACAUAUUCAUAGUAAGGUUACAUCAAAAAUCCCAGAAUAAAAGUCUACUCCAUAGUUAAAUCAAGGAGAAACAAACUUGAUACGAUGAACAUCACUCAAAAGCAGAGAAUUUCAGUGGAAGAGAUAGGUGUCCUCCCGGUCUUCAAUAUUUUUGCCUCUGUUCUUGGUGUUCCUGUUGGUGCCGCCUCCUCUGUUUUUCUUUGUUAUGUUCAGGGUUUCUAAGUGUCUCCCCUCCUCUGUUUUUCUGACCCGUAACUCUUCUUUUAUAUUGUGGCUUUUCUACCCCUGCAGUAAUGAGGAAAAUUUCCUUUUCUGCAUUGAUUUCUCCUACCCAGACAUUGCGGGCCAGAUUUGAGUUAGGAAACGUGCGAAUUCAAAGAUCUUUAUUUCUGGAGAAAUUGUAGAGAAUCAAAUUUUCUUUCCAACGACACUGAUUUUGCAAUUUUUGGACCUCUGAGCGUUGAGAUAUGGGCUAUAAACCGAAACAGUCUUUGCAGUGCAGGAAUUUCGGGCUGGUUCAAUCCUUGUUUUUCAACUCGCUUUUUGGGCUUCGAAACAACAAAACUGAGUUAUAUGUCCUUCAUAUGUUUUGUAGACCUUCAUCUCAGCUAUUUGAAAAUGGUUACGAACAUCCGGAACUAAAUUGUAUAGCUUCUUUGCAGCACAUAAUGAAUCACUGUUCAGUUUCACUGCCCGGCUCUGCCUGUUCAGUAACCUAAGAUCUGAAAACACAUUAAUUUCCCACGAGGUCAAUAGUUCAAAAAGAGAUUCAAAAUUCUAAUUGUCUUGUGCAACAUAUCCAAAAUAUUUAAAAAUCAAGCAUGAAUAGCAGAAAAUAUACAUGCUAAAAAUUCCCUUAUCAAAUACCCCCAAACUUGAAUGUUUGCUUGUCCUCAAGCAAAAAGGAAACCAUGAAAGCAUAGUGCUAAAAGCUCAUGAUAAGUUCAACUUUGACAUUUAAAAGGCUCCAUCAUGCAGCAUUCACUUCUUGACUUAGCUCAUAGACAAUAUUAGAUAAUGGAAAACUAAGCAUUCCUACUCUCUGUGCAGACCGUUGUACAAACUUCCAACUCAUCCAUGUGUUUCAUGUGUUUAGCAUCCUUGAACCGUGCACAGUCAUUCUGCCAUUAUUUUUUUUUUUUUGAACAAGGUAGCCAACUUUAGGAGUAAUAACACACUUUUACUUGUCUUUUGACAAGGGUGAUUUUUUUAAAUUUAUCACUUGUCUUUUGACGCGAAUACAAACAUUUGUGAUGAAUGCACCCGGUUACUUAACAGGUCAUAAGCUUAAAAUGCUUUGCAUACUCAUAUUUUAAAGCUGCCGUUUGACGUAAAAGUAAACAUUUGUGAUGAAUACUCCUAGUUACUAAGCAACUCAAAACAUUGGAGUAGAUACACAUCAUAUACUUAUUCAUUCACUUUCAUACUCAUUAUCACUCCUUGUUUUGAUAUUUUUCUUAGAGGGUAAUAACAAAAAAGAACAGCACACUUAUCUCUUAUGCAUAACUACACAAUUCACCUGACUAUGCUGGAAAAGUGUACUUCAAUAAUUCAACAGAAAAUAGUCAUGCUUAAUCCAACUUUAUAAGAUAUUAUCCACUCUAAGCCUAGGAAUAUCAUGGAUACAUCAUGAAGCACCUAAAAAUGUCAAAGUUGGUCUUAAAUGCAUAUCACUUUUCACCCUCUGUUUUCAUGGUUCCAGUGUGCAGUGUUCUUUCAUAGUCAAAGCAUGCAAUGUCUCCCCCAAACUUAAAUAUCACAGUCCUCAAUGGAAAAACAAAGAAUAGAAAGGCUUACGAAUACUUCCUUUUGACUAUGUGGGUGUGAGUUUGUUGCUGCUCCUGGUUAUUUGCUUGUAUGAUCAAUCCCUGCACAACUCAAUAAAACAAAUAAGGUUUUUUUUUUUUUUGGGUUGCCUCCCAAUCAGUGCUUAGUUAUAGUCAUUAGCUUGACUUUUCCAUUUAGCUAAGAUGAAGUGAGAGGGAUAUCAUCCCUUUUUCCAAUAGACUCUCCAUUCCUAUAAUGCUUCAGACGCUGCCCAUUCACUGUGAAUGUUCCCUUUUCAUCAUGAGUGACCUCUACUGCUCCAUAAGGAAAUACUUUCACAACCGUAAAUGGUCCUGACCACCGUGAUUUGAGCUUACCAGGAAACAAGCGGAGCCGUGAAUUGAAAAGUAAUACCUGCUGACCAGGGACAAACUCCUUGCGUACAAUGUGUUUGUCAUGCCAUGCCUUGGUUCUUUCAUUGUAUAUCUUGGCAUUCUCAUAGGACUCAUUGCGAAAUUCAUCCAUCUCAUUAAGUUGCAGGAUUCGUUUCUCACCUGCAACCUGCAGAUCUAUGUUCAGUUGUUUCAUUGCCCAGUAUGCCUUAUGCUCUAAUUCAACAGGAAGAUGGCAUGCUUUUCCAAAAACUAAUCGAUACGGAGACAUUCCCAAUGGUGUUUUUAAUGCUGUCCGAUAUGCCCACAAUGCAUCAUCUAGCUUUCGUGCCCAAUCUUUCCGAGAAUUACUUACUGUUUUCUCUAAGAUUUGCUUCACCUCUCUAUUUGAUACCUCUGUUUGGCCAUUUGUCUGAGGAUGAUAAGCCAAUGCUCGUUUGUGUCUGACUCCAUACUUAGAUAGCAGUGCUUCAGACUGCUUGUUGCAAAAAUGAGUUCCUUCAUCACUGAUGAUGGCUCGAGGAGUACCAAAUCUGGUAAAGAUGUUCUUUCGUAGAAAAUUAAGUACCACCUUGCCAUCAUUUGUAGGCGUUGCAAUUGCCUCGAUCCACUUUGAUACAUAAUCCACUACUAAGAGAAUGUAUUUGUUGUUAUAUGAUGAAGGAAAAGGUCCCAUGAAAUCGAUGCCCCAAACAUCAAAUAAUUCAACUUCUAAGAUAUUCUGCAGUGGCAUUUCAUUUCGUCGAGAUAUAUUCCCAGUAUGCUGACAUCUAUCACAAGCAGUAACAAAAGCAUGAGCAUCUUUAAACAUAGUGGGCCAAUAAAAACCUGACUGCAGAACUUUGGCUGCAGUGCGCUGUGUUCCAAAGUGCCCCCCAUAUUCAAGUGUGUGGCAAUGCUUCAAUAUGUUUGUCAUUUCUUCUUCUGGAACGCACCUCCUGAUGACUUGAUCUGCACAAUGCCGAUAGAGUAUCGGCUCCUCCCAGAAGUAGUGUUUGACUUCAGAAAAAAAUUUCUUCUUUUGCUGGUAAGAAAAAUCUGGCGGUAUGAUUUUACCUGCAAGAAAGUUGACAUAAUCUGCAUACCAAGGAAAGAAUUUGUUAGUGGAAAUUGCUAAGAGUCUUUCAUCAGGAAAACAUUCAUUUAUAACCGUGAAUUUAGGCUCCAGCUGCUGUGUCAAUUCCAGCCUUGAAAGAUGAUUUGCCACCACGUUCUCAGUCCCCUUUUUAUCUUUAAUUUCUACAUCAAAUUCUUGCAGUAAUAGGAUCCAACAGAUGAGUCUAGGCUUGGCAUCUUUCUUAGACACUAGGUGUCUAAUUGCAGCAUGAUCAGUAUACACCAGCACUUUGUUUCCCAUCAGGUAAGGCCGAAACUUAUCAAAUGCAUAGACCACAGCAAGCAACUCUUUCUCGGUUGUGGCAUAAUUGAGCUGGGCAUCGUUGAGUGUUCUGCUGGCAUAGUAUAUGGUGUGAAACACAUUAUUUUUCCGUUGCCCCAGUACUGCUCCAACUGCAUAAUCACUUGCAUCACACAUAAGCUCAAAUGGUUUCUCCCAAUCCGGUGCAAUUACAAUAGGAGCUGUCACUAACUUCUUUUUCAACAACAUAAAGGCUGUCUUGCAUUCCUCAUCAAACUGAAACUUUGUGUCUUUUAGCAGCAGACUGCAUAGCGGUUUGGAUAUUUUAGAGAAGUCUUUGAUGAACCUCCUAUAAAAUCCCGCAUGACCAAGGAAACUCCUAACCCCUUUUACUGUAGUUGGUGGCAAAAGCUUAUCUAUUGCUUCAAUUUUAGCUAUGUCUACUUCUAUUCCUUUUUCUGAAAUCCGGUGCCCCAAUACUAUACCUUCCUUUACCAUGAAGUGACAUUUUUCCCAGUUCAAUAUCAAGUUUGUCUUUUCACAACGCUCCAAAACCAACGCCAACUUUGCAAGGCAGUCAUCAAAAGAAGUUCCAAAUACAGAAAAGUCAUCCAUGAAGAUCUCAAUGAUUUGCUCCACCAUAUCUGAAAAAAUAGCCAUCAUGCACCUCUGAAAGGUAGCUGGUGCAUUACACAACCCAAAAGGCAUUCUUCUGAAAGCAAAAGUACCAUAAGGGCAUGUGAAAGUGGUCUUCUCCUGGUCCUCAGGUGCGAUGGCUAUUUGGUUGUAUCCUGAAUAGCCAUCUAGGAAACAGUAGUAUUCAUGCCCAGCUAACCUGUCCAGCAUCUGAUCAAUGAAUGGUAGGGGGAAGUGAUCUUUGUGAGUUGCCUUGUUGAGCUUUCAAUAAUCCAUGCAAAUCCUCCAUCCAGUUACCGGUCUAGUAGGUAUCAAGUUGUUGUUUGCAUCCUUUACCACUGUCAUUCCUCCUUUCUUUGGCACAACUUGAACUGGGCUCACCCAUGAGCUGUCAGAGAUUGGAUAAAUAACACCAGCAUCUAACCAUUUCAGAACUUCUUUUCGGACUACCUCUUUCAUGGUCGGGUUAAGCCUUCUCUGAUGUUCUACUGUUGGCUUGACUUCAUCCUCCAACAGAAUUUUAUGCAUGCAAAUAGAGGGACUGAUGCCUUUGAUAUCUGCCAAUACCCACCCGAGAGCUGCCUUAUGUUUUCUCAACACCCUCAACAAUUUUUCUUCCUCUGUUUUGGUCAGCUUUGCAGAGACUAUCACAGGAUAGGUGGAAGCUUCUCCAAGAUAUGCAUACCAAAGGUGUUCUGGCAGAGGUUGCAAUUCCAGAACCGGUGCUUGUUCACUGGUUGAUUUUAUUUUUGGUGCUGGUUGUCCCAAAUCUUCAAAGUAUCUUCUGCGGUUAGGUUCAAAAGAGUCCAUCCAACAUGUAUAUUUUGCUAUUUCAGCAUCCUCUUCCAAUACAUUAUUUACCAAACAUGCUUCCAACGGGUCAGUUGGAAGCUUGACUUUGUCAUUAAUUAAAGAGUCCACCACUUAAAUGCUGAAGCAACUCUCCCCAAUAUCUGGCUGUUUGAUGGCUUUGAACACAUUGAAAAUCACCUCCUCUUCAUUCACCCUUAACCGCAGCUCCCCUUUCUUCACAUCAAUUAAGGCACCUCCAGUGGCCAAGAAUGGCCGGCCAAGCAAGAUAGGAAUCUCAUUAUCCUCCUCCAUAUCCAGAAUGAUGAAGUUUGCUGGAAAGAUGAACUUGCCCACUUUCACCAGUACGUCUUCAAUUAUUCCCCUUGGAUGCUUCAAUGACCUGUCAGCUAGCUGUAGUGUUACUGUGGUUGGCCUUGCUUCACCUAAACCAAGCUUCUUAAAAAUAGAUAAAGGCAUGAGAUUAAUACUUGCACCUAAAUCACAUAAAGCUUUUUCAAAUAUAGAAUUUCCAAUGGAACAUGGUAUAGUAAAACUCCCUGGAUCCUUAAGUUUAGGAGGCAGUUUCUUCUGUAAAAUGGCACUGCAUUCCUCAGUAAGAGCAACAGUCUCAUAUUCCUCUAGCUUUCUUUUGUUUGAGAGGAUGUCCUUCAAAAAUUUCACAUAGCUUGGCAUUUGUUCAAGAGCAUCUGCAAAAGGAAUGUUAAUCUGCAAUUUUUUAAACACAUCAAGAAAUUUAGAAAAUUGCUUAUCAAGUUUAUUCUUCUUGAGACGUUGUGGAAAUGGAAUUCUCUGCAUUAUUUCUUGCGUUGGUUCUGGCAGAGGAUCAGAUUUUUUCAUAUUCUGAAGUGGUUUGGCCACUUGCUCCUCCUCUUCUCUUCCUGCACUCUUGUUUCCAGCGGUCUGCUCCACUUCUUUUCCACUUCUUAAAGUUAUGGCCUUGCAUUGCUCCUUAGGAUUAAUUUCAGUUGUGCUUAGUAGAGUUCCUUGUUGUCUACCCGUGAGCAUGUUGGCUAACUGACCAACUUGAACCUCCAAAUUUCAAAUAGAAGCUGCUUGGUUCUGCAGAUUAGUAUUUGUUUCAGUCAUGAAUCUGCUGGUGUUGUUUGCUAAUUGUGUCAUAGCUUCUUCAAGUUUAGAUUUCUCUUUCAUGUGCUCACUUGAAGAUGGCAUAGCUGGAUUCUUCAUGACAGUUUGAUUGUUCCAUGAGAAAUUAGGAUGAUUUCUCCAACCGGGAUUAUAUGUUGCACUGUAGGGGUUAAUCUGCCGGCUGUAGUUUGACACAAAAUGAGCAUGCUCUGCUUGAGAGAACGGGUUCCCAACCUGACACUCUUCACUUGUGUGAUUUCCAUGGCAAAAAUCACACGUUGUAUGGAUGGCAUUUGCUAACAGUUGAGUGGUUUUCAGUUGCUGAGUUAGUGAAUGGACUUGAGCUGUUAAUGCCGUGAUUGCAUCAAUUUCGUGCACCCCAACAGUCUUCUUCUGUAUGCUUCUUUCAUUUGGCCAUUGGUAAUUGUUCAUAGCCAUUUCUUCCAAUAAGUUGUAAGCAUCAUCCUGUGACUUACUCAUAAAAGCUCCUCCUGAAGCUGCAUCAAUUAGUGUUCUUGUGGAGGCAUUCAAUCCAUUGUAAAAAUUCUGCACCUGCAUCCACUUCGGUAGUCCAUGGUGGGGACAUCGCCUGAGCAAAUCCUUGUAUCUCUCCCAUGCCUCAUACAAUGGUUCACUCUCAAGUUGGGCAAAGUUAGCUAUCUCAAUGCGCAUUUUUGCUGUCUUGGCUGGUUGAAAAAAUUUAGCAAGGAAUUUCUGAGCUAAAUUUUCCCAGCUGAUAACUGAAUCUGCAGGCAUGGAGUUUAACCAGUUCUUCGUUCUAUCUCGCAGAGAAAAUGGAAACAGUCUGAGACGAAUGGCAUCAUCAGUAACGCCAUUAUGCUUAAAUGUGUCGCAAAUUUCCAAGAAACUUGCAAUAUGGGCGUUAGGAUCAUCACUUGGCAACCCAUAAAACUGAAUUGAGGUCUGAAUCAUUUGCAGUAUUGCUGGUUUGAUCUCAAAAUUAUUGGCCUCAAUCCUUGGUUUCCUGAUAACAGAACGGAUUCCUGUCACCUGUGGGAGAGCAAAAUCUCUCAAUGCCCGUGUGUCUUGCUCAGGAUUUUCAUUGUUUGCCAUGAAGCCUGAACUGUUUUGAAUUUCUCGCGUUUUCUUUCUUAAUCCCCUUGCAGUUUUCUCAAUCUCAGGAUUAUAAGGUAGCAACGGAUGGUUUUUGUUGCUUCUCAUGCACUAGACAACACACCUAAAGAGCUGAAGACAAAAGGCAAUCAAAUUAGAUCAAAUUUAAUUUAUAUUGAUAUUAUUAGUAAUUUUAUCUAAAAUCCCCGGCAACGGCGCCAAAAACUUGUUGGUUAAUUUCGCAAGUGCACGAAUCGUAACAAGUAAUAAAGUGAUAAGUAGAGUAUCGUCCCACGAGGAUUUGUAAAAAUUACUACUAAUUACCAAAGUCUUUUAAAUUAUGAUCUAUUUGAGGAAUCGAAUGAGAUAGUUUAUGAAACAAAAAUUAAUGAUUAAAAAAAAAACAAACAACCAAAUGAUUAAAUAUUAAUUAAUUAAAUUGUACUGGUUCUAGGAUUUAUGACUUACCGUAACUAUGCCUAUGUGAACUUUCUCGAUUAAAUUAAUUACUCCUAAUGUUGAUAAUCAGGUUUUCCUAAUGUAAAUAUUAAUCUCUCUCGAGCAUCAAUAAAUUAUUUCGACAAACAAAUUUCAUAUACUCUACGAAAGUUCUGAACUUGUCGAAAUUAAUUAAAUACUGUAAAACCUGUAACGAUUACAAAAGUUCCUAGGAUAUCUCUAUCCUAUAGAUUUCUUAAGGUAUUUCAAACAAUAGCUAAAACAAUUAUCACUUCUCAGUUUCAAAUUGAAUUCUAAAUCAUGCAGAUGUUGGCCAAACACACGCAAGCAUUACACAUAGAAUGAAAUACUCAACAUCUUAAUGUAAUAAUUCAAUCGAAGAAAUUGUUCACAUAUUCAUAGUAAGGUUACAUCAAAAAUCCCAGAAUAAAAGUCUACUCCAUAGUUAAAUCAAAGAGAAACAAACUUGAUACGAUGAACAUCACUCAAAAGCAGAGAAUUUCAGUGGAAGAGAUAGGUGUCCUCCCGGUCUUCAAUAUUUUUGCCUCUGUUCUUGGUGUUCCUGUUGGUGCCGCCUCCUCUGUUUUUCUUUGCUAUGUUCAGGGUUUCUAAGUGUCUCCCCUCCUCUGUUUUUCUGACCCGUAACUCUUCUUUUAUAUUGUGGCUUUUCUACCCCUGCAGUAAUGAGGAAAAUUUCCUUUUCUGCAUUGAUUUCUCCUACACAGACAUUGCGGGCCAGAUUUGAGGUAGGAAACGUGCGAAUUCAAAGAUCUCUAUUUCUGGAGAAAUUGUAGAGAAUCAAAUUUUCUUUCCAACGACACUGAUCUUGAAAUUUGUUGACCUCUGAGCGUUUAGAUAUGGGCUAUAAACCGAAAUAGUCUUUGCAGUGCAGGAAUUUCGGGCUGGUUCAAUCCUUGUUUUUCAACUCGCUUUUUGGGCUUCGAAACAACAAAACUGAGUUAUAUGUCCUUCAUAUGUUUUGUAGACCUUCAUCUCAGCUAUUUGAAAAUGGUUACGAACAUCCGGAACUAAAUUGUAUAGCUUCUUUGCAGCACAUAAUGAAUCACUGUUCAGUUUCACUGCCCGGCUCUGCCUGUUCAGUAACCUAAGAUCUGAAAACACAUUAAUUUCCCACGAGGUCAAUAGUUCAAAAAGAGAUUCAAAAUUCUAAUUGUCUUGUGCAACAUAUCCAAAAUAUUUAAAAAUCAAGCAUGAAUAGCAGAAAAUAUACAUGCUAAAAAUU
rnacentral:lncRNA from 1 species